rnacentral:lncRNA from 1 species
UUUUUUCAAAAGGUUUGUUAUGCUAGGAUAUUAGAUUUGAAGCGGAAGUUUCUUGAAGCUGCACUUCAUUAUUAUGGUAUUUCCCAGAUUGAACAACGUCAAAUUGGAGAUGAGUAAGUUUACUUACUGAUAUUUGUAGAUUAAAAUUUGGGAUAAAAAAUUGAUCUUAUUGAUGACUUACUGGCAAUGAUUAUUCUCUAAAUCUAUGUUUUGUCUAUUUCAACAGAUAUACUGUAAUUUAUUUCUAUAGUACUUAGGCUUCCUUUUCUUAUUGCUGUCUUUACUUUAUUGGCAUUGCAUAUUUCUCAGCAACUUUUAACCCUUCCUAUUGCCCUUUUUUUUUUGUGAUUUUUCUUUGACAUAUAUAGUUAUAUACUUAUAUUAUGUGUUUGCAUAAAUGCAAUAUUUAGAGGAACUCUCCCUGGUACAGUAAGGUUUGCUUUGUUGCUACCUGUAUAUUGUGUUUGAACUGUUGAAGUGGCCUCUUCAUAUGAUGUGGUGAGGCUGCAUACAGUUGAUCCAUCAGACCGCAAAUGAUGGAGCCCUAUGUGCUUUAUUGUUUUCCAGUAAGCACCCAGUAGUAUACAUGUAUAAAAUGUGCUGUUAGAUUUUUUUUUGAAGUGUUUGCAAGGUUUAAUGAAUAUUGGUUCACAUGCUUUUUUCAUUUUUCUUUCUUCUUCUUAUAUUCAACUGUUCUUACCAGGUUAUUUGGUCUAUAAUGCAAAUUUUGUAUAAUUGGAUCUCAGGGAGAUUGAUGAGGAUGCAUUGGAGCAAGCUCUCAGUGCUGCUGUGACGUGCACGAUAUUGGCUGCUGCUGGACCCCAACGGUCCCGUGUUCUUGCUACCUUAUACAAGGUAUCUACGUCACUUAGCAUGAAAUUUUAGUUCGUGCUGCAAAUAUAUUCCUUCACCUCAGUUAAUUGGCAAACUUAAUGUGUUUUCCGUGACUAUCGUCUCAAACUGUGAAAUUCAGCUUUAUCAAGUGAUUGACAUAAUUGAUGUAUUUAGUGUCAAUUUUUCCUCCUUUUGCAAAUUCAUAAUGGAGUUCCAUGGGACAUCAAAUUUGAUACUGUACUUUCCAUCAUCUUUUUUGUCAUGCCUUUUUGGCUAGCUAAAGCAUAACAUGUGGCUCCUGAUUAAAGCAAAGGCCACAAUACCAUUCAAGUUUUUGAACACCAAUACUGGUACCCAUAGUGGAACCUUACUGAACCAGUGCAUACUGAUUGAUAUGGUACAGAAUGCAUCGAUGUGCUAAUAACAAUUAUACAAAAAAAAAAUGAUUUGCUGAUACUGAUUUGUGUUAGUGGUACACUGGUCUAUUGGUAUGGUGUGUUUGAUAUACCACAAUGUUCGAAACCAUGCUACCAUUUAUUGAUUCAUGGUUUUCCUAGAAUUCUAUUUUAAAAAUAAAUUUCAGCAACAAUAGUAAAAGUACACUUUCGGAUCCUUCUUUUAGAUUGAAUGGACACUUGCUUUAAGGGAGAUUGUGUGAUCUGGUCAUCCUUAUCAAAUGUACAUAGCUAGGAUAUGGCUAUAUCGUUAUAAGCUUAAUUUGGGAUGAGCCAUUGUGAAAUGUGUUGAUGUUGUUCUUUCAAAGUAAAUUGUUUAGGGAGUUCAGCAAUUAAAAUCUUUUGUUAAUUAGAGCUGUUUCUUAUUAAGUAACAUGUUGCCUUAUGGAAUUUGAUAUUGUUGAAAACUUGAAAUUUCUCCUUUUCCUUGUCAGGAUGAGAGAUGCUCAAAGCUGAAAAUUUAUCCCAUUUUACAGAAGGUAGCCAUUGUUCCCUUCUUUAUAGGUCUCUUACUUUUGGUUAUAUCCCCACUACCUUUUUUCUACUCUAUUGAAGAAUUUUGAUUAAUAUAAAAUUAUAAAUGCUUUUAGGUGAAUCUUGAGAGAAUUUUGAGGAAACCGGAAAUUGAUGCAUUUGCUGAGGAACUGAAAGCACACCAGGUAAUCAUACUUUGCUUAUUCUUAGUUUUAUUUCAUUUUUCUUGUCUAUCUUGUUGAUAUGGUACAUUUUAUCUUUGUUGUUGAACAGAAAGCUCUUUUACCAGACAAUUUUACUGUGCUGGAUCGUGCAAUGAUUGAGCAUAAUCUUCUGAGUGCCAGCAAAUUAUAUACAAAUAUAAGGUUGAAAAAAAAGAUCAACUUUAUUCUGUAGAUUCUUAUUAACUUAUGAUUUAUUUUAAAAAUGAUUUUUUCUUCUGAUGAGCAGUUUUGAGGAGCUAGGAGCUUUAUUGGGUAUUCCUCCUCAAAAGGUUUGCUUUCUGUUAAUCAAAUUUAUGUUGCCAGCUGUGAUGCAGAUUUUUUGUUCUUUGAUCACUUGUGUUGUUAUGUAUUGUAAUUGUUCUUCUCGUCAUGUGCUGAAGUUUGCUUCUAUAUUAAUGUGUCAAUUCAAGAACUAUAUGCUUGAUAUCACGUGCUUGCUAGUAUGGCAUAACUCGUUAUUAUAUCAAGUCCCUUUCUUUAGUUGCCAAAAAGAAAUACAGCUGAAUGUUAUUUCCCCUUUUCAGGUUCUUGAUAUUGGCACAGAAAAUUUCCAGUGGUCAUAAAAUACUUCACUACUACACUUUUGUUUUCACCAGUUAUCCUUUGAGCAUUACGACAUGACUACUAUGCCAUAUUACAGUUAGCUGGUUCUCAACUCUUGAUUCUGUUACCUGCAAUAGCUAUAUGAUGUUAAAGAGUAUAGUGAUCAAUUUCAUUCACUGCUGAUUGUCUUGAUUAUCAUUGUUAUCCACAGCCUUCUUUCAUCAAGAUGGUUUAGUUAUGUUAUAGAGCAUAACUCAAAAUCAAGAGGGAAGUCUUUUGGCAUAGGCUGAACUAUGUUCAUUUGGAAGGAUAAAGACACUUUAGACACUUGCCAUCGACCAAUCUUGGUUCUAAUAUCAGUUGAGAGAACAACAAAAUCUGCUAUGAUUUUAUGCACUACCCAGAUCUGGAAAAUUCAGAUACAGUUUCUGCUGGUGCUUCAGGACUUUCUUUAUAUUUAUGACGCUAAUUCCUAUUGUUUGAUUUUAUAUGGCUUCCAGAACAAGCAUAUCAAAUUUCUAGAUUUUCGAAACAAAUGUGACUUGUCAUCUGCUAUUCUACCACCUCAUUAUUUUUUGGCAUAUUGUAAAAUUUUGGUCAUUAUUUCUGUCUGAUUAUAUUGGAAUGUUUCAAAAAUCAAUUAUCUUACUUUGACCUAUGAUUUUUGCAGGCUGAAAAGAUAGCAGCUAGAAUGAUCUACGAAGAUAGAAUGAGAGGAUUAAUCGACCAGGUAAAGAUCCUCUGCUAUGUAAUUUAAGGAUAAAAUUAGCAACGUACUCCAGAAUCUUCUUGAUCUGGGUUCUAGCAAACCGUGCUUAUCCCCAGAUCAAGAGACGCAAUAAAACAACAGAAGUAAUGCAGCAGAGAUGAAAAAUUACAAUCACAAGGCUACUACGACAGUUUAGUGGGAAAAGAGAUUUACAUUCUGGCACAAGCACACUUGGCCAUACUAUAAACAGAAUUAUCUAUACAAAUUCAUUAUUCUACCAUCACUCAAAAGAGAUUUAGUGUAUGUAUUUUAGUAAGAUCUUGCUGAUGUAUCAACAUAGCUACUAAGUUAUACAUUUCCCUCUUCCAGGUUGAAGCUGUCAUAUAUUUUGAGGAUGAUACGGAGGAGUUGCGACAAUGGGAUCAACAGGCAUGUCUUACUUGCACUUGCUAAGUAAAUGAUAGAACAAUUAUUAAUAAUUCAGAUGAUACAUUAACAUGUCUAUGACUUAGCUAAGGAGCUAGGGCUGAAUUUUAUUAUAGAUUAAAAUAUUUAAUUGUUGUAUGACAUCUAACCCCCUUUUUUUUUUACUACAUGCAGAUUGCAGGUUUAUGUCAAGCAUUUAAUGAUAUACUUGAUGGUAUGACAAGCAAGGGCACACCAGUUCCUGUUUGAAAUAUAUGCCUCGUCGAGAAUUUAAUUGGUACAUACGAUUGGGGUAAUUCGAGUUUUUGGAACUUAUCAUACAUGAAUCAUCUGUGUAUAGCGAGUGACAAAAUUGAGGAUUUCCUCCCACUUAUAUGAAAUAAAUAUAGAGUACUUCGAAUUAUUAUUAUUAUUUGUACCCUUCCUUUGUUAUUAAAAUAAUUGCUUGCCCUUAUUUUAUACCCUUCGUAUGGAUCUACCUACUGUGGGGGAAAAAAAUUAGAAAUAAGGAAGAUCAAUUACAAUAAAAAUAAAUACAUAACGUAUGCAGGUACAUUGGGAUGCUGUGAACGAUAUAUUUCAAGGAUAUUUACUAGUAAAGAAUAAAAUAUAAAAAUAAGAAUAAAAUAAUGAGAUCAAUAUCCUUCUUUCGACAUAUAUAUACCAUUAUAAAAUUGCAAAUGUACCAUUAUAAUUAAUAUUCAGUGAAACUCCGUCUAAUAAAUAUUAGCAUAAAAUCAAAUUAAAUAAUUAUUUCCUAAACUCCAAUCCAACACGUAUACGCGUAUAUACGGCUCGUUCGGGUUAUGUCUACGCCUUAGAGAAAGGGUUUAAGACAUAUUUGGGCUGGCCCGUAAAUAUCGAGCCCACACAGGCCCAUCAAUGUCCGGGUUCGAAGAAACCCUAGACCGAGCGCUUUUAGGGUUUCGCCCGAGCGAGCCCUAUUUAACGGCCAUCCAGUCUCCGUCGUUGCUACGAUCCUUUCCCUCUGACGUUACUUUUGCGGCUCGAACUCUUCUUUUUCUUUCUCCAUCCGUCGUUUUUGAUCUAACUCCCACUUCUCCGAUCGAAAUGUGGUUCUCUCGAUGACGAGAAACGAAGCAGACGGGCGGUCAGAACCUGAUGCCGUGUUGAAUGUCUGCAGCACUCAUCGACUUUCCUUGGAAAGCAUCCGAGAGAGAUUCCACUGAUCAUCGGUCUAAUAUCUAACGUUACGUACAUAUUUUGGUAGUUUGUGGUAUUAGUUUUGGUUUGAAACAUGAAUCUGAUCCGCUACGAUGAAGAUGCUGAAUACUUAUGUCUGGACAAACGAGAUCCUUUUCUGUGUCGAUGACUUGAUUUGCUUUUUCUGAGCAGCAUCAGAUCAAUUGUUUUUUGUUUUUGAUGGUCAAGUAAUUGCAUCAGUUACCCUCCUCUUAGAUGUUCAUUUGUGUGUUCUUUUGGAUCUAAGGGGAUAUAACGGGUGCAGAAAUCUAAAUGGUUGGCUUACCAGCCCAUGGCAUUUGAUUUGGUUGCUCUGGCGUCAAAUGGUCCGAUCGAAAUGCUUGUCAAAUAUCAAGAUGUUUCUUUUUUUCUGGAUUUUUUUUUCAAUCAAAAGGGUGGCAGAUGAUGUGAUCUUGAAAUCUUAUCCUACACACUGAAUCAUGGUGUGGACCAAUAACUCCGCUUAUUAUCUGAUGCCCCUUUUGCCGAUUGUUCUAUAUCUCAAUUUCUGAGUUUGUUGUUAAUAAAGUAGUGAUUUGAUGCUAUUAUGUAUAUCGUGGCCUACAUUUAUGUACUAGAACAGUCUUUGUGUUUAUUCUAGGGCUUUUCUGGCUGCUUAUCUUAGCAUUAUCUUGUAACUAUGUACGUGUAUAAUUGUUACUGAUUUUAUGGUGAUUUAUCUGUAGUUGUAAAUCUUCAGUGUUGUUGUGCUCGAUAACCCCAAAUCAAUCUUUUUUUUCAGCUAACUUGCAUUAUUAAAAAGAAACAGUUUUGUAGACUAGCCAUCAAUGGACUUUUAUGCAUAGGAGAAUCAUUUAGGACUUCUUCUAUUCGCAAACCUCCAUUAACAAUGGCGUUUUGAUUUCUUCUAUGAGGUGAUGUUUUUAGAAACAACCUUCAUCUUUGCCAAACGUAGGCUAGUCUUGGGAAGGUAAUAUGUUUCGCAAGUGGGAGGCAAAUGAUGUGAUUUCAAAUCUUAUCCUACACACUGAAAACACUGUGUGGACAGAUAACUCCGCUUAUUAUCUGAUGCCUCUUAACUUGUUUCAGUAUCGUUUGGUAUCUCUAUUGUUUUCUAGUCAAUUAGUUAUACUGGCAACUUUAUUUACUCAAAUUGGUUUGAGAUGACGAACGUAAAAAGUUUUAUUAUGUUCAUUGUGUAUGAUUAGAUAUAUGAACUAGGGGUCACGAUUGGUCUUACACCUCGCAGGUUCUUAUAUGUAAGCUCGUUCAUUGUUAACAUUCCGAGGUUUUGGUAAUCAUUUUGUUUCCAAACAUCAGCACUACAAGAAAUAUUCUUGUUUCCAAGUCUUAAUACCUGUUGUUUUUGUAAUGAGGUGAAUGGAACUGAUUGGCUGUUGCUGUCCUGAACUGAUGCAUCUCUUUUGUCCUGAACUGAUUAGAGUUAGGUUGCUACUGGGAAGUCCAUGCAUGACUUUUCAAAGAAGCAUUGAACCGUGGCGAGUGGUCAUCCAAAUUGUAUUUAUCAGGUAUUCAGCAUGGGAAUACUGCUUCUAAUACUAACUUUUUCUGGCAUUUAUUCAUUUGGGUUGCAUGUCCAUGUUUUGCAAUCACGAACAUCUGUCUUUAUGCAAUGCAAUCUCCUUUUCAUCCUAUUAGUUGAUAAGCAGAUACUGGUAAGUACUAACAUCAGUUGAUAUGGAUAUCAUAUUGUGCUACUAUGGCCAGGAGCAUCUGCAAAAGCUUGUAGAUGAUCAAUUGCAGCAACUCCUUUCUGGAUUAUCAUUCUGCACUUCACAUAUAACUGUUAAUUCUACUGUCGUUUCUAGAAUUAUUUUUUUCAUGUGUAAAUUAAACAAGUGAGCCUAUGCCACAAGUCUCUUUUCAGUGUUGUCCACUCAAAACACCUGUGUAUUGUGGUGGUGGUAGCAUUUGGCAUGGUUGAAAGUGAUACUGUAUGCCAUGUUAGGAAUAUGCAAUGCUGUUGUGUUUGAGGAAUUUUUAACAUGCCUUUUUCGAAGGCUCAUCAGAGAUGUCUGGCGUUAUUGUGGUUAAAGCAAUGGCAAGUGCCGUCUGGAAACGUUAAUGUGUACUAAUGCUGUGUUUGUGGGCUCCUCGGCAUUCCCGUUUAUGCUCUUUCGUGAUCGUUAUUGAACACCAAGUGUUUGAUAACGAUAAUAAUGUACAAUGUUUUCAUUAAUGUUUCAUCUGACAUUAUAUUUUCGUUAACAUGAUGAUGACGACGAUGUAAAUUCAUAUUUUCUUGAUUUUUGAGACGUACGAACACGUUCGAAAUAAGGUGUUUGGGCAGCAUAAGUUUGGGUUAUUAUGAUUUUGAUCAUGGAUAUUUUAAACUUUUAUAAUUUAUAAAUUUUUGGUUUAGUUUGACUUAACUGACUUGGUAUAUGCAAUUUAAAUUUAAGAAAAGGUUAAGGUUUAAUUUAGUCAUUUUUAUUUUGGUCAUGAAUCUUUUAAAUAUUUAUGAUUUAUUCAUGUCAAAUAAUUAAUAUAUUUUUAAAAACGUAAUAUGUAAGUAUAUGAGUCAUAUAUAUAUAUUUACUAACGAUGAGCUAAAGAGUUUUCGAUCAUAUUUCAGGUUAUUGUUCGACCCUAUAGCCUUAGCCACUUCCUCUUCCUUGACAAGUUGAUUGGGGAGAGCGAGCAGAUAUAAAAAAGUUACAUGAACCAGCUCAACUUCUCCUUUUGCUUGAUCUCCAUCUUCGUGAUACUGUGUUUCACGGGGUAGGUGGCUUACAAGAUAUGGUGGUACUCGUUAGGGUCGGAGCGGGUGUCAUUUGCCAUGCGGAGUGACAUGGUGGCGAGCGCCCUAAAGCUAGCGAGUUUGAUUUACCAUAUGUCACUCAUCAGUUCCAGGGCGCAUGCCACAACGUCGCCCACUACGACGUUGGUUGCCAUCGCAAACGACACUCGCUUCAAUCCUAACGAGUACCUCUCCCACCAUCACAUCAUAGGCACAGCAGGUGAGGGCGCAAGAGAGGACGAAGUGGAAGGUAGUAUGGACAAAGACGCCUAGGAGGAGAAAGAUGGCCAAAGAGACCAUUACAUGCCUAGCGUCGAACUGAUUAACGCACAUCCACUUGAGGCAGAAUCGGAAGCUCUUGAGCUCGUCAUCAGCGCGAAAGAUGCUAUGUGCAUAUGAUGCCCUACUACACGGUAGCAGUUCGGUGCUACUACCGAUGGUCGCUUCCACGAUAACGCAUCCUCCCACUAUUGAUAGUAGUGUUACUUGAGAGGAGGAGUGUAUAUGCUAUGUUUUUUAUAAUGUAUGAACUCUAUUAUACACGAGUAAACCAUAAAGAUUUAAAAGAUCUAAGACAAAAAUCACAUGGGCUAAAAUGAAUUUAAACUUAAAUUACACGUGUCAUUAUAUUAAUUAUUUAUUAUGAGUCAGUAUGUCACAUAAGGGGCUAAAAUUGAUCUUUAAGUUUUUUGUUUAGGAAUGGGGGGUUUGUUGAUAAUAUACGAUAUGUGUUGUUUCAAGAUGUCGAGGAUGGUCAUAGAGUAGGUUAAUUAUCGAUUAUAAUUAAAUCUUCUUAACAUCUCGAUCUCUAGAUUUAAGAAAUUUACAAUGGAAUCCUGUAAAAGUAAAAUAUUUAACUCUAUUUAUCUUAACAUUAUUGGUUUUACCGAAAAAAACAUGAAAAUAAUGGAUAAAAAUCUUAACAUUAUUGGUUUUAUAAAAAAAAAACAUGAAAAUAAUGGAUAAAAAGAUCCUUUAACUUUAUGACAGAUUAUUAUGGAUGAGGAGGAAGAGCGAAGGUGAGGGCAAUCCCGCCCAACAGUCACCCGUACUUCAUUCAUUAUCCACUCACCCGUACUUCAUUCAUUAUCCACCCAUUAGAACAUUAAAAUUAUUUUUUUACUCAUUAUUUUUAUACUUUCAUUAUUAAAACCAAACGAUAUUAAAACAUCCUUGAAAUUUUGAUUCCUAAGUUUAAAAUAAUUUAUAUUGGAAUCCUAGUAAAAUAUCUAACUCAAUUUAAGGAUAACUCGAUUUAAGGAUGUCUAACAACCAAAAAUAAUUGUAAUUAGCAAACAAUGAUUGGUGUAGAAAAGAAUUGAUCUCGGUGCCUUACCUUACCCCCUUAUGGGUAACAUUCACCUUUGUAAUAGCGACUAUACAAGAGGAUAAGAAACACCAGCAACUAUUUUGGAAGUUCAGACUGAAUAAACCUGGAAAGAGCACCCUCUAGUAAUUGUUUCAAUUGAAUCAAGCAUGAGAUGCAACAUUCCUUGCAUCACAAGCAUUUUCCAUUUCAAAUCAACAAUCAGUCGAUGCAAAUUCCAAAUAAGCUAGCAGGCUUUCAAUAGAACACAAAAUUUCGGUGUUCUUGAGAACUGAAUUCAGUUAUCAAACUACACCUACAUGGAUUAAUACAAUGGACAAACAAAUUGGUGAUGGCAGAACACCAAAAUCUUCUGAAAAUUGUGAUCAUCUUUUGAAAAGUCAUGUUGUUCACCUUAUGGCUCCAUUUGCAAUGGAUAAUACUUUGCAAACACCAGCAGAUGUCGUGAAGGGAACAUCCUUGUAGCACGCUACCAACUCUGAAUUGGACUGCAGAUCAACCUGCACCUUCUCCCAAACUUUGCUCUUGGCACUUAAGAUGCCAUCAGGCUCCCCCGAGUAUCCAGGAAAGGUUACUCGCUCGCCCACUGCAGCUGAUGAAGGUGGGUCAACCAACUCCACCUGGUAUUAAACACAUUAGUUAUUAUCAAGAAACUGCUGUAACACUGAUAUGAGAAAUUAAACACCUUAGUUAAUCAUACACAUGUAGUCUUGAAGGGCUUAAAACUGCGUUUAACUUAAGAUAGACCAAAACAAAAGGAGGAAGCACUGUGGCUUACCUUUGUGUGGUCAUCAUUUGAUGCAGCCAAGACCAUUGCAUGUGAUUUGAUGCCUCGCAUGGUGACUGGCUUUAGGUUGCACAGAACACAUACUUUCCGAUUCUGCAGGAGUAUUGUAGUAGAAUAAAUAGAGAUUCAUAUCCAAUGGGAACAGAAAAAGGUAGAGAGUAACAAACCUGCAUUUCUUCAAGAGGAAUAUAUUUCACAAGACCACUAACAACAGUUCUUGGUGAUUCUUCACCUACAUCGAUUUCUUCUACAUAAAGUGAAUCAGCAUCUGGAUGCUUCUGAACCUUCUUUAUGAGGCCAACACGUACAUCAAGUUUCGAAACCGAAAUCUCUGUUUCAGCAGUUUUUGCUUUUGUAUUGCCAGAAGGCUUAUUUUGUUGUUUCUUUGCAUUACCUAUUGGCACAAAUGACAUGCAAAACUUAACAUGCUAUUGUCAAAGAAAAAUAUACAACCAAAGGCCGACAUGAGCUCGUGAGGAACAGUUUCAUUUGAACUUUAACUGUCCUGAAACAUGCACCACGCGUAAAUCAUACACAUUAACAAUCUGGAAAAGACCAUCUGCGCAAAAUGUGCAAACUUAUGAUUAAUAAGAAUGCUUUGGGUGUGGAUGCUUAUGAGAGCACUUGAGAACAAUGCCUCUGGAUCUGAACAUGUAAUCUCAAUUUAGUUUUUGACUAAAAUUUUAAAUUGAAUAAAACCUAUUCUCAUCAGCUCAGUAAAAGCCAAAACUUUGCACAGCUCCAAGACCACUAGUGGAGUUUUGCUACAUAGAGUUGUUCUUACUGCUGAUGACUGUUGAUGAUAAUAUGACUAGUCAAACUAGGAGUCAUCAAAUAACUUGUUACCAGUAAUAUCUUCAUAAGUCUCCCUCUUAACUCUGCUCAUGCCACUAAUUUGAAUUGUCUCGCCUCACCUUCAGGUUUUUGGAUCAGUUCAAAUUACCCUAAAUAGUAUUUUCUGUUAUAUCCUCAAUCAUAACUAUACCCAUUUUAUCUCAUAAAUGUGAAUAUCUUUUAUUCUAUCUUCUUUAAAUCCCCACGCGUUAUCUAGGUACUCAUAAUUUUUUUCUUCUAAUCUAAGAGUUGCAUGGCAACUACAAAACACUGCAGAUGAACCACUACAUUUAAAUCUAUAAGCAAAUAAAUCAUGUUAUUGUGAUUUAAAAUUCUGCAUUAUAAAUGCUUUGUCAGAGCUGUAUUGCCUAAGUUUUUCUGUAGCUCAAUUUACCUGCUUUUGCCAUUUUUCUGAUUCAUUCUGCUAAAAACUUAGCUAAGAAACAAAGAUCAAAUAUAGAAAUUGAGGAAAGAUAUUUAGACACCCAUAGUCCAGAACAUGGUAAAACUUGAAUCUUAGGCAUCAACUUCUCUGUGAACUUUAUGAACCUUCUUCCAAAUGUUAUUUAUUAGUAUAAAACAUAUGAAUUUUUUUUAAAUCCCAACUCUUAAGUCUCAAAGUCCAUGACAGAUUAAAACCCAUUCUUUUUGAAUUGCUUAUUGCAUCUUAUGCCUUUUUUCUGGUUUACUAAAAGUUCAUAGCUUGUAAUGAAAAAAUAGGAGAUUUUUUAUAACAUGGGUCAGAAACACUCUACCUGUUAUCUUUGUGGCUUUUAGUUGCUCAGCAACUUUAUUUGCAUCAGUUUCAGCCUUCACAAUUCUCUCAGCUUGACUACCAGCAAAUCUCACCCUGAAGGAUUCCACGUCUUCAUCUUUCUGCUCGGAAGAGCAUUCAAUAAAUAUCCAAGCGAGUGAAAUGCAAUUGACAAAAUCAUGCACAAAGUUAAUAUGUAUAAAAAUGAGCUAUCAAGCGAUAAACAAACUAAUGCACACCAGUUCCUUAAACAGUGGUUCAGGUUUCCCUAUAUGGUGACCAGAUGGCAGAAAAUCCCAAGGUCUCUUUGCUUUGUCAGUUUCUCCAUUUUCAUCACAAAAGGAGAGAUUGGCUUCCAGAGGUAAAUUGAGCUGCCUUAGCACCUAGCACACCAAAGAAACAUUAUCCAGAUCUCAUUAGAGAACCCUAAAACCAAAGAUUAAGCAGCAGAAGGUGCUUAUCAAACAUAAACAAGCAAAGGGAAUAAAGAGAAAGUAAAAUUUACUUCAACAGAAAAUGAAGGCAUGAAUGGUUCCAACAAACAUGCAAGAAGGUAGACAAGCCCAGCUGAGGUCUUCAUCACAAUGGCACAAGAAGAUGGAUCUUCUUUGAACAGCUUCCAGAAUUGGCUUUCCUAUAUCACAUACCCAAAAAAAAGGUAAUAGAACUAGCAUACAAGUACUCACAAUUGACAAAGAAAAUUCAAUGGAACCUACUUGGAGAUAUGCAUUUCCUUCACUGGAUAUGCUCAUUGCAAUCUUUAGACCUUGUUUUAGUUUAACCUGCAAAAGACAGCAAAUUAUUUUCUCCAGUAAUUAAUAUAUCACACAAACUAAUCACCGAAUUGAGGUGUGUGUGCGUGUGGAGGCUUUUGUAUCUUAGUCAAAAUCAAACUUCACAUAAUCACCUUUUCCAUAGCAUCCAGAUAUUGGUCAACCAAUUUACCAACUUUUUCUCCUAAAUAUUUUGUUAGCUGCUGAGAUUGUGGAUUUGAAGCAUCAGGAAUGAUUGACCCAUAUCCUGCUCCUGCAAUAAAUAACAAAUGGCAUUUACUGAUAAAUCAUUGUAUCAUGAAACACCAUCGGUGCUUUCAAAAUGACAAAUCAAUAAAGCAAAUUAAUAACUUCAUAUUUGCACAAGAAUAGUGAGCACAUGUUAGCUGGGUAGCUUCCCACAUGAUGUUGCCAUUUAAAUAUCUCCGUCAUGAUUGAACAAGAGAAAACAUUUGGAUAGCAAAGAAACAUUUUUUUACAUGUAAAUUAGAAGAUUGGAGAAGGUAUCUCAUAAAAUUUCCACAAGACAAACAGAAUUUUAAUAAAACUAUAAGCAUAAAGGCUUAGAUAUUUUGAGCUGAUUUUGACACCUGUUAAGAACAUGUUCAUCUUGUGGUAAAAACCAAUUCUCAAUCAAUUUCAUUUGCAUACCAACAGAUUUCAUAAUAGAUUAAGCUUAUACAACCAAGGAAAGGCCCUCCCAAGAUUGCAAGUAGUUGGUAAUAGUCAAAAGAUUAGAUAGAGAAGUCAAUGACUGAAACUGUCACAUCAAGUGAAAUGAUGAUAUUAUUAGGCAUAAACCCUAGAAGGGCAGGAAACUUCUCUUUGCUUCAACCAAGUCAUCUCAAAUCUAAAAUCUAGUACCCCAUAGAUAAAAAAGAACACCACCUAAAAAAUAAAACCUCAACUGUUUAAUGCUUUGCCUGCCUUAGAAGCCAUGUAAUGCCAGAGACCAUCGCUCAUAGCCUUGGCAUGCUGAACACACCACAAAUCCAAUAGUUCAAGGCACGGUACAAGACAAAUUGAAGCUAAGGACUUUAGUUAAGUUUCCAUAAUAGUUUAAAGAUGGUCCUAUAUGAUUUAUUAUUUACUGGAUAACGCAAGACAAAUUGCAUUUCCAAAAGCCAUAAAAUGGUUCACAAUUUAACAAAAAAAGCUACACUAGCUAUUGCAAUUUUACUUUAAAAUUAAAAACUUCAAAAAGAGGAGUCUUCAAUUUGGUAGCAUAGUGAAUGCAAAAGCAUUAAAUUCAGACUAUAUACAAAAUAAAGUCAAACUGGUUCAUAAUGCUUAGGGGACUGCAAGUAUAUUAGUUUGCAUGAUUUCAAUAACCAACCUUCUGGCUUUGCAAUAAAGCUUAGAACACGAUUGAUGAAAUUCCCUAAGUUGUUCAGCAACUCAGUAUUCAGCUUAGCCUGCAAGUCUGCCCAUGUAAACAAUGUGUCCGAUACCUGAUUCACAAAAACCAAUCAGGAUACUACAUAUGGCAACAAGUACUGGAUCUAAUUGGCAAAAUUUUAUGGGCAUUUAGAAUCAAAACUACGGUUUAUCUUAGGACUCACCUCAGGCCUAUUCGUCAACAAAUAGUAUCUCCAUACUUCAGUAGGAAUCUUUGUAUCCUUGGCAUCAUUACCAAAAACUCCAAUUCCCUUACUUUUAGAAAACUUUCCUGCAACACCACAAACAGGUAAAUAAACCAGAAUAUUCUAUGUACCAAGAGCAUAAAACUGUCUUACAGUAAAUUACAACCACAUAACUUUAUAAGGUUACCAAAAACAUUUCAACAAUACUGCACGUUGCUAUGAUUAAAGAGUUCAGAUGGAAUCUAUUUCAAACUCAAUUUUAAUAGUACAAAGAGAAAACUAAAAUGUUAUUAGGAUGGAUGGACAUGAAUUCCUGUAAUAGAAGUUAGGUUCCUUGGAUCAAUCAAUCAACAUGGCAGAGGGAUUGAGGAUACUAUGCAUAGAACAAAAGUUGGGUGGUUAAAUUGGAGAGGAGUGUGAUCACUGAGUGCUUUUAUAGAAGAAGAAAAUUUUCAUAAGAGAUGAGGGAGACCUAAGAAUGAUAAUUAUAAAAAAGAUAAUUAAAAUGCUUUACAUUUAACUAGAGAUAUUGCCUCGCACAAAGUUCAAUAGCAGCAAAAAAUCCAUAUAACUCCUCCAAUUAUUUGGGAUUAUUAUGAAUUAUUGUUGUUGAUCACGAAAGCAGAACCAACAUAGUUAUAAUAAUUGAUGGAUUCAUUUCAAUUGAAUUUACCUGAAAUCAAAACUGAAUAUGGUUAUGAAUCUAGCUUGAAUGCAGCUAAUUGGUCAUCAUCAUAAUUCUUCCUAGCAUAAAGGUUCACCAGGUUGUAAGGGUGAUAGUAUUCACUAGUAACAAACUCAUGAAAUUUUGCAGUGAAUCUCGAGAAAUCUAGAAAUGGCGGCUCUUUGGCUGUACAUUUGGUAUUCAAGUAGUUCAGCUAAUCCAGCACCCGCAUAGAAAAUGACUCUUACCAUGUGGUUAUGCUAAUCCAAGUAUUUUGAUGUCAUUACUUGAAACCAUGAACCCCAACAAAAAUGCCGCACAUCUUAUAUCAAUUUUAAGUUGAUGGCAGAAUAUAUAUGACAUUGUGAUACAAAAACCUACUUAGUUAGUUAGUUAUCAACCAAUCAUCUACUACUUGACAUUGUGAUGCAAAAACCUACAACAUUAUCAACCAAUCAUCUACUACCACUGAAUGCCCCUUUGUUAAUCGACUCCAACAAUUUCAGUCUUGGCCUUAGAUGUAGCCUCGAAUCCAGAGAGUUCAAUGUUGAUGACAAAAGGCAGUAGUUCUGUAGUUGUACUUACGUGUAUCUGAGAGUAAUAUGUCGUUGGUGAGAAGAGACAGAAUAUUUAUUAGCUUGUGAUAAAAGAACCUAGUUCCUUAUCAAACUGUUUCUUUAACUACUACUGCUACUAAUUUUCCUUUUGUUAAUUGACUCCAACUACUCCUGCAUUGGCCAUUUUGGGAUGUAGCCUUUAAUCUAGAGAGUUUGUUAGUGAGGUGCAAUCUCUGUGAUGUCAGAAGAAAAUCUAGCAGCAGUGCCCCAUUUGAAACUGUGUAGCUGAGAGUAACAUGUGGUUGGUGAGAAGAUAGAAGAAAUAUAGAAAAGACAUGUAUAAGGAUAUUUGUAGGUUAAUAGACAUCUAAAAAUUCCCGAUUAUUUAUGAUUGUUGAAAGACAAUUCUGUAAUUUUUUUUUCCUCCCUAUAAAUAUACAUGUAUAUAUCAUGCAAACAAAGGUGCCCACUCAAGAUUGCCAAUAGGCACCAGAUGCUCCAACCAGGGUUUUUAAUAUCGUUCCAUACUGCCGGAUAUGGGUGGUAUGUACUGGUCCGCCAGCUGACCGGCACGCGGACCCCCGCUACCGGGCGGUAUUAGCUUGGCUGCAAUGAGGCGGGACGAGGAAGAAGAGGGCAUUCAAAGAAAAGGGAGAAGCAUCGAAGAAGAGGGAGAAGCAUUGAGAAAGAGUAUCGUGGAGUCACUGAUGCCCUUUCUCGAUUCUAAUCUGACGCCGCCCUCCCUCGACAAUCCCGAUCUAGGAGGUAACAACGAGGAGAAUCGUACCUUUUUGGGGGGGGGAGUUGGAGGCGCGGGGAUCAGGGGAAGCGAUGGUGAGAGUAGCGAAAGAGGCAACGAAGACCCCGGCCUUCUUCAUCUCCGAACGUCUCCUUUGUCCACUGUUGCUGCACGAAGAACCUUCCGAUGUCGAUGUCAUCUUUCUUCUCCCCACCUCCUUGACGUCGAAGGCCGUAGACGAGACAAUCGCUCAGUAUGUCGUAUCUAUAUCUUUUUAUAUCUUUAUCUAUUAUUUUUUAUUUUUAUAUUUUUUAUAUAAAAAGAUAAAUACUUUUUUUAAUAGUGAUCCUGUACGCCUAACUUUACAUUCAAGCACUGUCUACGCAUGGCUUAGAUAGUUUGUCUUCAUCAAUACACAUAGAAUAGGAAUAGGGUGGAAUAAUGCCACCGAAUAUAGUACUGCUCGGUAUAACAUACUGUAUCAUACCGAGCAAAGCUUGAAAUACCGAUACAGUAUGAAAUUUCAAUCAUUGGCUCCAACCAUAAACGUAACUGUUUGGGGUUUACUUUUUCUUCAUAGAUCAUCCCAUGACCAAGUUCUAAAGAGUUACAGAUAAAUCCAAGCAUUGUUAUUUUAAAUAUACUUUGCCCAAAAGAUGCAUAUAAAAUAAACCAAAUAUACAGAAAGAACAAUCAUAAAAAGAACCUGUUCAACAAUCUAAAUACAUAACUAUGAAUAGGCAGUCAAUAGUACCUGAUUCAUAAUUUAAAUAUUCUGUGACACUUAUCGUCUUCAUCAUGGUCCACCUUUCGCCAGUUCCAAGUAGAGUAGAAGGAAACAUUACCUAGAACACAACAGCAUAUUAAUAUCUAAAGAAAUACUUUCUGUCAAGGAGUGACUUCAGAUACAUAACAAACACAGUAAUGUAUGUACAUCCAGGUCUGAAUAAAGAGUCCAAAAAUACAGCAGCAGGCAAAAUUCACCCUGAAAUUAGUGGUUCAACACUUAAGGUGUUAGAAUUUAUGAGUGGUUAACCAUAUAAGUAUAAGUAUGUACUGAACUAUUUCGUAAUGUGACAGACCCUUUGAAUAAGUUUUUGGACUUUAAAAUAACCCAAACACACAGGGAGGUAAUAGGGCUUAUAACUGGCUCGUUGUUAGCAUGAUGUGAAGUUGGCAUUUUAUAUAUCUCCUCCAUGCUGAUAUAUACGCAAAGAUGAACUAUUCCUUAAAAUUCUAAGAACAUAUCAUGGGAUUUCAUGGUGUUACAAAAACCAUGAUGCUACUAUCAGUACACUUGGUGUCUUAUUCCUCUGAUAUUGUCAGUAUUCACUCAACUAGACAUCAUUAUACAUGAAAUGCCUCAUGAACUUACUUGUAAUAUUCACAUUUUAACACUGAUGAAACAAAAAUUAGCUUGUUGAAAGCUUAUCUAUGUGUGCUCAUUUCCCAACUAUAUUAGACACUAGAAUAAACUCAGAUUUACGUUGCCCAUAUGCCCCAUACUAAUGCAAACUUGCCACGUAUGUGAAAAAGAAAAUUGUCACAGAAACCCUACAGUUGGUGACCAAGUAUAAUGAAUCCAUGGGUUGAUAAAAAAAAAAUAUCUCUUGCAACUUAAGUAGCAUACUCAAAAUCCCAAAUUCACCAUGCUAAAGUGAUUACAUUUUAGAUCGCAAGCACUUGAAGAAUAGACUUCAGAUUGUGUCAAAUUUUGUCACAAUACAAAUACAAUGGUAUACAUAAGAUAGAUUGUGUCUUUGAAUGCUAAUGUACGAAUGAAGAGCAGAAUUUUACUGUGUGAAAUGGCACGUUAUCCUUGCCCAUAAAUUGAUACAACUCCACAUUAUCAGGAUUCUUCCACCAUUGCUCCCACUCGGAAGUGUAGCAUGCAGUGAUAGAAAUAUAUCCAAUAGGGGCAUCAAACCACACAUAAAACACCUACACAGAUAUAUACCAAGGGUCAAUUGUUAGGGUUGAUACCACUAUGACAUUAUCUCUUAGAUCUCUUAAGAGCAUAAAACUGAAAAGUGCAUGAAGCAUCAAUCAGUUUCCAUUAUAGAUGUCAAUCUAAAUGCUUUUAAAUUGCAAGGAUUUCUUGUACCUUAUCUUUAUACUUCUCAUGUGGCACUGGAACUCCCCAUUUAAGAUCCCUUGUAAUACAACGAGGUCUCAGACCUUCUUUCAGCCAUGCAUUUGUCGCUUGAAUAGCAUUUUGGCUCCAAGAUCCAGCCACUGACAUGGUGUUAAUGUAUUCUUCCAGCUUCUCUCUCAGCAAGGGUAGCUCUAGGAACAAAUGAUCUGUAUCACGUAUGCGAGGAGCGGUACGACACACCUAAUAUGAUAAUAACUCCACUUAGGUGUAUAAACAAGCCAAAUACAUCAUUCACGGUAAGAGCAAUCUGACACAAAAUAUACUACUUACACUUGAAGGUCAAAACAAUAGGCUGAAACUUGCUAUAUCUUAGUAGACAAUUACCUUGCAUUUGGGAUCUUUCAGUUCAGUUGGAUUUAACAGUUUUCCACAUUUUUCACAUUGGUCACCACGUGCAGAAUCAUAAUUACAAUCCAAUGUAGGGCAUGUACCCUCAACAAGCCGAUCCGCCAAGAAGCGUUGGCAUGUGUCACAAUAUAGCUGCAUUUGAUUUCAAAAGGCAAUAAUUUUUGCCAAAAAUGACAAAAUAAAAUACAGGCAUAACUUGUAAAAUGCACCCGAUUAAUUCAAAUCACAGUAAUUACAAAGCUAUUAACAUACCUGCUGCAUGGUAUUUUCAGAAAGCCACUUGUUAUCCAGUAGUUUAUGGAAAAUUGCUUGGCAGACUUCGGUCUGCUGAGGAGCGGAUGUACGUCCAAAUUUGUCAAAGCUUAUAUCAAACCACUCAUAGACGUCUCUGUGAAUGGCAUGGUAUCUAGAAACAUGCAGAAAAUUAUAUUUAAAAGGUCAUAACAGUACAAGUUUAGACCAAAAGUAACAUAGAAGACUACUUUAACCACUCAUCAACCUCGUGUGGAUUGCAUGGUCUCUAGAAAUAUGAAGAGAAUACAUUUCGAAGACCAUAACAAACAAUGCAGAAUAAAUGUUGAUUGAUUCCCAUUUCUUAUCACUUGCAUCCACAAAAAAAAACAGUGUCUUUCUUCUAUGUGACAAUGGCCAUUUGUUGGAAGUUUCAAAAGAUUGCCAAGGCAAAUUACCUAAAAUGUAAUCCUUUUUCGGUUUUUCUUUCUUUGACAGAAGCACUCAUAUAUAAUUUCAGGAAUUAAAAUGAUUCAGAACUAUUUAAGGAAAAUACUCAAAUAGACUACAUACAUACAAAUAUAACUACCAUCACUAAACUAUCAGAUGCUUUACUAUUCAAUUAAGCAAUCAAAACAGAUGUAUGGAUCGCAUUUCACUCACUUGUCACAAAUCUCCUUCGGGGAGCAAUUCUCCUCCAUAGCCUUCGUCUCAGUGGCAGUCCCAUACUCAUCCGUCCCACACAUAUAUAUCGUGUUGUACCCCCGGAGUCGGCAGUAGCGAGCAAACACGUCCGCACUCAAAACGCCUUAACCAAACCAAAAAUCCGUCAACUUUCUCGAUCACACCACCAAAUACUCCCAAAAAUAACCCAAUUUUUCAACCCAACAAAAUGAAAAGACAACAACUUCAGACGAAAUUAUCAAAGAAAAAAAUAAAAAAGUAUACAUCCGAUGAUGUUGCCGAGGUGAGGGACGUUGUUGACGUAAGGCAGCGCGCUGGUUAUGAGGAUGUUGCGGCGGCCGGGGAUCGGGAGCUUGGGUGCCUUCUUAGCCGAGGAAUCUGCCAUGGAUGCCUCGAUCUAACGGAGAGAGGAAGAUGGAUCAAAGAGUAACGUCAAGCCGUUCUCUCCCGGUGCUUCUUGGAUCGAUUCGUGCGCAUCGAGUGGGCGAAUGGAGUCGUCGUUUUAUUGGUUCGGAAAACCCUAGGAAGAGUUGGGAGCUCGUCGCCGGGCCGUGCGGGUUUAAUGGGCCUUCCGAAACGGAGUUGUAGGCGUAACAAUUCCGCCGACGUGUCGUGAUCAAGGCCGUCAAAUUAUCCCUUGCACUCCUCGGUUUUUUUGCCCCUCAAAAACGUUUCUCUCUCACCACCAUAUCAAAGGGUGAGAUGAUCAAUUUUGAUCAUAUAUAUAUAUAUAUAUAUAUAUAUAUAUAUAUCUUCAUAUUAGAAAAUAUUCAUAUUUUUUAUCUUAUUUUACUUCACUUCGAAUGGAGUCGACCUUCCCAUGAUUAAAUUUUAGUUUGCUAUAGGCAAAAAAAAAAAAUGUUCCUCUUACAUGUCAUGCUAUGCUCAAUAGACGCAUCAUCAUGUGUCGAGUUACGAUUGAUCGAAAAUAAUAAUUAUAUCGUUAUUAUGUAUUAAGUCUUAUACAUACUAGAGCACAGUGCCUUAGUCCAAGAUGGAUUCAUUGGGUAUAUAUACAUUGUAUGUUUUAAUUCAUAUGUACGAUAUGAAAUCCUUAUGUAAGGGGAUAUAUUUUAUCUAGUAAGAUCAUAUUAGAUGCCUUAUGUUUUUGUCCUGAGAGCAUGCAUUGUGCCAAAGGGGAUGACUUGGCUUCAUCGAAAUGCUUUGGGUUACACACUUGCACAUGCUCUUUUAUCUCGAGCAAAUGCAUCACAGAUCAAAGAGAGACACACACUUUAAAUAAUAUUGUUAGAUGUUUAUUUGUCUUUGGUGGAUGCAUUAUGUGCAAUAGAGAAGCUUUUGGAUCGCAUUAGAUAUUUUAGAUGGUUUUUUAUAUCCUAUCGUAACAAUAUAAUAUAAAUAUAAAUAUAAAUGACACUAUAUCAAUAUUAAACCACAUACUAUACCAUCAUCCAUGUUAAAAAAAGUGAUGCAGUGGGAACUUCAAAAGAGUUAAAACAAUAUGAUUUAGCGUUCAGCCAAGUUUUCAUUUUCCAUGGAGCUUGAAACAGAUCAAGCAUUAAGCAAUAAAGUGAAGAAAAAUGAUGCAGAAAAAGAAAAGACUAUGAAAGGAGAGACAAACAUCAUCCUAUCACCACAAGCUUUCUGGUUCCCCCCUGGUUAUGUGAUUUAAGAUGAUGAUUUGAAGAGUACACAGAAUAAUUUGUUGAUGUGGAAGAAAUCACAUUCUCCCUUCUAAUAUCAUGGAUCUUGUGUUCAUUCUCAAUCUAUUAUUGGGCCAGAACAAAAUAUUCUCAGAGAAUCUGUCUCAUCAUUUAUUAGAUCUUGAUAGAAAAAUUUACAAGGCUUCCAUGCAUUCAAAUUGGAUUUAUCAGUCAAGAUCAGAACAUUCCGAGGACACAACAACUAGAAAUUCCCACUGCGCUUGCCCUUGUUUUUGCCGUACAAGCGGAAGAGGUUGAAGGCAGACAUGGAGGAAACAGCCACCAUGCAGAGGCUACCUAGGAAGGCACUCACCAUGCCCCCCCCACUUUGGUUGCAGAAUUUAUGGUAGAGGUUGCAUACCUUCAUCCACUGGAGCUCUGUCUGGCCGAACUGGCUGAGCUCUGCAGCUUGUGCUGCCGCCGACACCGCUGCCAAUGUGAGAUACGCCACGACCUGAAGCGACACCAUGCAUGAAAAUAGUGAUUACAGUCUUAUAUAUUUUCUUAUCACUAUCAUUUUAUCUAAAAGCCUAAACCUUUGAUGAGACAAUUUAUUUUAUAACACUCCUGCCUUACAUGUACUUGGGUAGAUCGGCACAAACCUUACAUCCAAAAUUUGAACUGAUCGAAUAUAUAUAUUCAAUGCAUGAUCUGGAGUAGUUUUGGACAUCGCUAUCAUGUCAUCAUGAACUUUUUUUGACAUCAUAGCUUUUUAUCACUGUCAUUCUUAGCUUACAAGAUCAUAUUUUUACUUGUUUUUAGGUUUGACUAGAGAAAAUUUACAAGUAUCAGUUUUUGUAAUACUGAUACUUAUUUUUAAUAUGUGAUAGAUUGCUAAGACCAAUCUGAAAUAUAAAUUUGUAGUGCCCACAUAGCCUGCCAGACUCUGCAGAUAAAUCAUGAACUUGAGGCCAAGUUUAGGGCCUCAGAUGAAUCUCUGGCCUAUGCACAAAAUCUGCUGUGAAGAGCACAUGAAGCAGAGGUGACUUUUCUCUAGCUAAACAACUAUUAGAUGCAAUGGCAAAUGCCCUUUUUCUGUCUACAAAGUUUAAUUUUGUAAAUCAAUUGUCAACAAUGCAGAACUUUGUCUAGUACUUCACAAGCCAGACAAAACAUCAACACCAGUUGCUGAUCAUUCAGCAACUUUGGCCACAGAAGUCACUACCACCAGAACUAAAAGGUCAGUUGAUAAGGUAGAGAUUCUCAUUCAAUGCAACAUAGUUUAAGUUAAUGCUGCAAUGGUGACAUGGGUUAAUCAGCUACCUGAUCACAAGAGAAGAUAGCCCAAGCCAAGGCCUUGUUGAAGAGGACACUCCCCUUCAUCAUGCUCACCACACUCCUCACCACCAUUAGCAGACUAUAGCCUGCAGCUAUCCCAUUUGCUACCACUAGGAACCUGUCAAUCCAACCAAAACCAUAUAUGGACUCAGAAAUCUGAGAUUUAUGCUAUAACAGUGUAAAAAUAUAUAUAUAUAGACUUCACAAAUACCACCAUUUGAAUCUUCUGUGUUAUGAAGAAUUAGAAACAAAAAAGAGAGGGGUUUCUUCAUAGAUCUACACAGAAAUGAACUUGUAAUAACCACAGAAGAAAUAGGAAGGAUGAAGAGAAGGUCUUACACCAGAGCUUUCAUGUCAGUGAACUUGGCCUUCUUUUCCACAGAGAAGAACUCCCUAACCUGAGUGUCAGAUCCUACUAGAACAGCAGCAAUCACCCCAAACGCACAUGAGAGACACCUGAGCACAACCUCAGCCACCUUCAUCCUCCUCUCCACAGCCAUCAGCUUCCCACCUCCAUAGUACACUGGCACGGUCCCAGGGCUCACCCCAACCUCCGGCCUCAUCUCCUCCCUCUAAAAUCCUUGACAACACACAAGGCAGUGAAGCUUUACGAAGAACAGUCACUUCCCUUUUUUAUGGCCAGAGAUUCCCAAUCCCGCGCCUCGACAAAGAAGGCAGGGGGGUCAAUCUGAUUGAUACAAGACUCGGGAACUUGAAGACGGAGCUGCCCGAUGCCCCAUUCAAGAGGGCAUGGUGAGUGCAUUAUGAGGUCCUCAUCUGCAGCACAAGGAACAAGGACUGAUGCAUGAACAGUACCUCAGACCAUUGACAUGUGGCAUGGUAAUGACUCUGUCUUUUUGAUGUGGAAACAGUGUGGAAGAUUGGAGUCAGUGGAAUCUUUGAUUACAGCCAACGAAUAGAUCUUUAGCCAAGUUUGGACUGUUUUGGUUAUAGUCAAUCCAUGGUUGGUGGUGUGUCUUUACUAUAUAUAUAUAUAUAUAUAUAGUCUCACAUCUUGAGAACAUGUUUUGGUAUAAAAAUUAGACUAACUUUUUUUCUUAAACUCCACAGAUCUCACUCAAACUUCAUCUUUUCUUCAUUUAGAAUUGUGCAUUUAGAAAAUUACAUGAGGAUUUUGUACUGGGAAACUAAAAAUGCAUAUAUUUUCUAUUGUUAAGAUUGACAAGAUACUUAUGUUCUUAUUAAUUAUGUGUAUUGAUUUGUUUAUUAGUAGUUGAAAGGCCAUAUAUAUAUAUAUACCAUAUCACUAUUUGUUCUUUGAUUGUAGUAGGGACAUUGACACCAAUGUAAAGGACAAUUUUGCCCAAAAGGUAAAUAUAUGUAAAUUACUAAAAAGCUAAUCAAUGCAAGCUCAACAUUUAACCUUCAAUCUAGUCCAUGAGUGUUGGAUGUUGAGGUGAUUUGGAGGAUAAUAAAGUUAAUACUAAAUGAAAAUUAUUUUAAGAGACAUGUGCAUAAACGAUGUUCAAAACUAGGAUGAUAUUUGUGAUAGCUAAAUUGCAAAUGUUAUAAGGUAAUAAAUUCAUUUGUAAUAUUGGAGACAGUAAAUAUAGGAUUUGCUUUUGUAAUUUUUGCAAUUUAAUGGAAAUUUUUGACAAGAUGAAAUGUUUUUGCUUGUACAGUACAAUUGAGAGAAGAUACUAUGUAAUAGUCUCCAUUUACAUGGUGUCUGCCAAUGAAAGAUGGCUUAUAUGUGUUGUCUUUUUGUUCUAUGUGAUCAAAAUGAAAAAGAAAAAUCAAAGCUAAAUUGAGGAUGGAAUUUAUUAAAUCUAUUCAAGUACACAGUUCAUAGAGGGAUUGUGGCAAACCAAAUAUAUCAUUUACAUUUUAUAUUUCAGAUAGAUAAGAGAUGUUGACAAGGGAUCAGAUUUGAGGGAAUAUUUUGGCCUUGUGUGGAGAUCUUUCCUUCUUGCGAAUCCAUCAAAUCAAGAACUUGUCAUUCUUUUGACAAAUAUCUUUUGACUGUCACUCAUAAGCAGAAGCAUUGAGUGUAAUCAUCUUUUUUUGUUCUAGUGGGAGUCACUGAAAGCUGAAGCAAGCUCCAAAUUUUGACAAUGGAAAUCAAAGACUGGAAAAAGGCUUUGUGUUAUGAUGAUGGGAGCCUGUUGGCAAUUGGAAGCAUUAAGUUGCUGGGCCAGUGACAAUCAUGGAAUAUGGUUGUGUUGGGAUCCCAAAUCUGGGAGAACUAAAUUUUGGAAUAUGUGAUAGAAGGUUCUUGCCAUCUCUUUAUUAAGAUAUACUAAAAUUUAGGACAAAGUUCGGUGCAUUGGGAUUGCAUUGAAUGCUAGUUUGAAUAUUCUCUGUUGUCAGCAUAGAGGAUGUCCUUUUCAUCCAUUAUCAUCAUCCACUAGUUUAGUGGGGAUAGGCAUGAUCAGAAAAGAACAAGAAGAAAAGGAAUUGCUGGAUAGAUCACCACAUUUAUCAAUGGAUUUUGUAUGACCUGAUCCAAUCUCAAAUCUCCUGAUCCCUUGAUCCAAUCAAUAGAUUGAUCCAGUCUAAUUGUCUAGUUGAAAACCAGUUGGGGCAUAAAUUGACCUGAUUACUUUCUGUUUAUUAUCACAUAAUGCAAGUAACAUUGGAUAAGUGUUUGGCAACCAGUUAAUUUACAGUGAACUCGAAUUGCAACAGUGCCUGCUCAUGGCUGGAGAUCAAAGGUGGAGUUGAGCUCUCAUGUCAUACUGAUACUGCCCAGCAAUGUAAUUAACCAUGGUAGUAAGAGGAAGUGAAGCAUAAGUUGACAUGGAAGUGGUGGAAAGAGAACCUUAAAAGGCUUGCAUUUUAUUAAUGGAGAUUCAUGAAACAUAAACCAAAUAAUUUGCUCAUGCCUUUGUUGGCAUGACACUGUUAUGGCUUUUCUAGUUUAAGGUUGAAACAGGUAAAGACAACCUUUGAAGCAAAACUAUCAAUUAAUAUGCACACCAUUGAGUCUCAAACAAUCUCAUAAUAAAGGAAGUCCCCCUGUUAAUUUAGCAUUAGAUUAAAAAAAAUCCAUAUUUCUGUAGUUCAGUGUGCAACAAAUUUAACUCACAAGCCAAAAUUGAUCCUCAUUCACCUAGGAUGAAAAAGAAAAGGACUUUUUUUUGGACUUUAUCUGCACUUUUGCAGCUCAAUUUGUCAAAGUUGGAUCCUCAAUAGGUCAGCUUUAAGAUGCCACUUUUUACCUUAUUUCCUUCUUGGAUGCUCAAAGCCCUUGAAGCUAAGAGCAGAUUCAACAGCAGAAAUAAAUGAUACACAAAGAAUUGGAGUCUUCAUGAGUGAAUAAUGUGAAUGAUCUCAGAUAAAAUAAAAAAUAUUAGACAAGCAAACAAAAAAUCUAAAGAAAAGAAGUGAUUCCAAAUCUGCAGCUCAAAACUAUUAGCAGAUACCUAACAGCAAUAGGAUGCACUACCAAAGGCUAAAUACCACACCAUCAAAUUAUCCAGAAAACAACAAACUGUAAUAUUGGUGCUUCCCCUGAUGAGCCUACAAAAGAAAUGUCAAGCACAUUCUGAAAGACUGAAAACCACUUCAAUACAAAGACCUGAGUAAAGACAAUUAAUUAUAAGCAUCAAAUCAUAUAAAGAUGAAGAUUGGUUCAAAAGACCAACUGGAACUACAUCAAGCAACAUCCAGAUGAUAAUAUCAACACUCCUUGGUUGUGGACUACUAAUCCUUGGCUGUAAAUUACUACAUAAAAUAGAACCAGGAAUCUCUAUGGGCAGUCAGCAGCAGCUCAUUUUUACUUUUACCCUGCUGCAUUUGAUCGAAUGCUAUGCACAUUCUUCAAUAAAUCCUGGAUUUUUACUUUUCCACUGCUGAUCUCCUGAAGCUCUAUCUUUUCAAGCAGAUAUUGCUUCUCAGUUUCUGCUUCUUCAAGACAAUGCUUCAGGUUACAUACUGGCAUAGUGCUGCUCAGCAUUCUCUGAUUUAGCAAGUGCAAUUCCCUGUAGCCUCACAGUCUCCUGUUUGACCUCGCUGGCCUGAAGCUGGAACAUCUUAGCCUCUGUUUCAUCUUCAGUCCAGUGGUUUCAUUGUCCCCUUGCUUUUCCUUCUCUACUUUGUUUCCCGUGACGGCAACUGGGCGGUUUGUCUCGAUGGGCCAGGCCUCAUGCGAGCUGGCAUUCUCAGUGGGGGAGCUUCGCCAUUAGAAUAUUAUCGUGGUUCUUGGGAUGCGGGUGAGUCUGCAUGGUCGGACGAAGCGAGGGACCGACCUCGGAGGCUGGCGUGGGAGGAAGCAUUGCCGGUGGGGCUUGCUGGUGAUGGUUUGCACCAGAAGAGGUGCCCAAAUCAAUUGCUAGUAUGCUGUUAAACCUUCACCUGCAACAUAUGCAUCACCAAAACUGCCUUACCUGAGGGUUUGAAUCCAACUGAUGCAACUAGCAAAAGAAGUACGCAUCAAAAACUAAUACGUUUCAAGAUCCUUAAUUUCGCCAAUAAAUGCCGCCAAAAUCCAAUCUUUUUAUUUCUAGGGAGGGUCAGAAGAUUAAAAAGUGCACGUUUCUGGAUUCUAGAACCCUAAUCUAAAGUAGAAACAGCAAGCGAUUCAGAAGUGCGAAAACGAAUUAGGCGAUUCGCAUUAGAAUCCACACGUCCAACAUGAUUUCAACUAACUAACAAAAAGAAAAGGGCCGGAAAUCGGAGGAUCCAAAGGGGGACGAAUACGAACGAACAGCAAGCUUGCAUUACCUGGAGCUUGAAUCUCCCAAAGGGCGGACCGCGGGAAGCAUCGUGACCGAAGCGAUCGCAGUAACACCGAGAGAAGAAAGAGAUUAGGUCUCUCUCUCGCGUUUUCUCGUGCGCCGGAAGUCCUCCCUCCCGAAAAAGACAACGAUGACACAUACAAGUCACGACUAAACUUAAAUCAAAUUACGUGGCGCAUAUCGAGAAGCGUACUCGCCCUGCACCACCUCAGCCCGCCGUCAGAUAUCCAUCACAUUCCGUAUCCGUGACUCAACUCGUGUCGUGAUAUUACUGCUCGCGUUUCAACGCGUCAAACGUGAUGACAGCGAGAUGAUAAUAGACGGGCAACCACGGGGCCCCAUCCAAUGGAGAUCUGCCACGUCAUUGAACACUUUUGUAGCCUGUUUUACUGAAGACAGACUAUCCUCAUCCAACGCAAAAUAACAAAUAAUAUCACCCCGAUAAUUUUCAAGGACGAUUCGACCCAGCUGGACAAACAGAUGUGCAGCUACAAAGCUGAGAUUUACCCCUCCAAUUUUCAUUAUUAUCAUUGCAGCAUUUCAUUAUUUUCAUUAUAUAUAUAUAUAUAUAACAAUAAUAAUAAUUACAAAUAGAAAUUUGACGAUGAUAAAAAGAUUAUGGUCUCAUUCACAGCUAGACAUGAAAUUGAUGGGAUCAUCAUUUGGAGCUUCUUAUUUAACUUUUUUUAGUGGGUAUCAAAAGGGCAUUUCUCUUUUAUUUGGCAAUAAGAAAUAUUUUUUAACCUAUUUUGUUGAUCAUAUCUUUGAAUACUAACACUUCUUCCACCAAUAAAGGAAGACAUAUAAUAUAAAGUCCCAUGUCAUGAGAAGAAUGUUAUUUUCAUGAAGGUUAGACAUUAUUAUUUUUAUGAUCCCAUAUGGGUUGUAACAUUUUUGCAGAAUAUAAAUAAAUUCUAAAUGAUUGUAUAUAUAUUUAAAAAUAUAUAUAUAUAUGAAGAUAUUAGAAAGUCAAAUUUAAAAUUAUACUAUUGUUGAAAGUUGUAACAAUGUGGUUGUGUCAUGUUCUUCUUUCCUUUAUGGCAAAAAAAAAAAUUGUACUUGUUGUUUGAAGUCCUUUUUUUGGGGGGGAAAUUAAUCAUAUUUAUGCAUAAGAGAGAUUUAUGUGAUUUUGCUUCUUCUCAUCUUUUUUCUUCAGAUAUUCCAUUGUUGAUAGGCAUGAUGCUUCCAGACAAGAGAACAAGCUCCAUCCAUCCACCAACAAGAAGACAAGAAAUUGUGUGGAAUAAGUUGUUGAUUUUGAUUAGACAUAUAGAAAAACCACACAUGGACAAGAUUAGGUUUUCAUUGUCACUUUGGACAAGAGAAGACAAGUCAUUAUACAUAUCAUGAGAAGUGGCUGUUGCUUGGAGUGGAAGCAAGUCAAGAAACAUGCAAAAAGUUGACCAUUAUUAGGGGUGCAAAAUGGAUCAGAUACAGAUAGAACAUUGGACAAGGAAACAACUUAUAGAAAACUCAAUUUUUGACACAUUUAUCUUUCUCUUUGAUCCAAUCAAACAUUCAAGCUGUUCCAAUUGUUUUUUGUGAUAUUCAAUGAUUGAUUUAGUUUUAUGACCAUUGCAGUACUUAUGGCUUUUUUUCCUCCAAAGCAGUUAUAAAAUAAUGUCUACAUAUCAAGAUUUGGAACAUUGACUAUGGAUCAUUUUGUUUGACAUUUCAUUGCUACAAGUACCCCCAAAAAACAAAGUGUUGUCUAGUCCCUUUAUAUAUGUGGUGAAAAAUAUUACAUUUUCUAAAAAUUUACUUACAUUGAUUGUAUAUUUAUUUUUGUUGAUGAAAUUUAUGAGUCUUGCAUAUUACACUGAUUGCAUAUGGUACAUAAUUUGGACUAUGCAUCAUUGCCUGUCCAAUCCUAACACUAUAAAUGGUAAGGAAAAUAUUACUGUUGUUGUAGCAACCCCAAGUACAUGUCAAUAAUCCCCAUGCAGCUCCAAGGUUGAGAUAGAACAUGGCUUCAACACCCCACAUGCAAGAAGAGCAUGUGAAAGCAGUCAGUAGCCUCUGAUGAAGCUGCAUGCUUCUUCCACUGUGAUCUGUUCAUGCACAGUGGCAGAGACCAUAGAGGACAUUUUACAUGAUUGAAUGCCACAGGACAUGGCUUGUAACUUUGUGUUCUUAUCAGACACAAACCCCCAAAGCUAAACAGGAGGCUGCAUGGAGGCUUGCUGUUCAUAUCUUUCAAGACAUUGAAAUCAAAUCUAUUGCACAAAUUUAUGCAGCAUUGUGGGUUGUGCCCAUUUCUUGAUCAUUUAGUAUUCAGAUGUGGAGCACAGAUUGUGUCAUAGAUUAAUAUACAAUGGGUCCUUUUUUAAUGAAAGUUUAGGGUUUGGGGAUUGGUGAUCAUCCAGUUAGAAUUUUUAUCAUGAUAUUGGUCAAGACUAAUCUUUAGAAACUUUAGCAACCUUAUUCAAAAUAUUUAUUAUGAUAAUUGAAUUAUAAAAUUCAUUCAAUUUUUUUUUUAAUCUUUUGUGGCUCUUUCUUCAUGUUAAUAUUGGAUUUAUAAUCCAAGGGGAGUUGGUGAAUAGUAUGAUAAUGAGAUGAACUGAGAAUUUGAUGGAAAUAAGCACUGAUUCAGAGGUGAUGAGAAAGAAAAAGGAGAAGAAAAGAAUGAGAUGGAGAGAUACAUUGAGGUCACAAAGUCUUGACUGCUAACCACAAAUCUUUCUUCACUCUUCUAACACACCACUUUCACAAAUUGAAGGUACAGAAGACAAAUAACAAUCCAAGAAAACUAGAGAAAAAGCUUAGGAAAUUGCAAGCUGAUGCACUAAACAGGCGAGGAGGUAUAGAUUACAGGUGCAGAGAAGUAUCAACAUCUGUCUCAUGUCCAGUGAUUGAAUUCUGAGCAAUGCUUCUGCUGGGCCACGGGCUCAUGGAAGGUGCGUUCUCGGGUGCAUGGGGUCCUACGUGAUCACUGAGGUGGCGGCGCGACGGAGGCCAAGGCAGGUCGGGGUGGAAGAGCCAGUUCUGCUGCCCACACUGAACACUUGAGCUGGGUGGCUCGCCGUCGCCCCACACCCUCUGCAGCUCCCGCUGCUCCCUCAGCUCCUUCACCCUCUGCAGCUGCUUGAACCGCUCCUGCAGCAGCGCGAUGGAGGCGUGGAGGGCAAAGGGAUCGCCGUUCUGCCUCCCCAUGAGCUCAGCCUCAAGCACCAAUGUGGAGUAGCUCAGUGGGUGGUGAGGUGGUGCUGAUGCAGAUAGAGUGUUUGUGUUCAUGCGUGGUUGUGGCGUGGCCAUGGAUGCCAAUUUAUACUGGUUGGCUGCUGCCUUCUUGCACUAUUUCACAUAUGAUUUUGUGUCCUAUGAAUGAUGUAAGAGAGAGAGAGAGAAUCAAAGUGGGAGCUGCAAAAUCCAAGGAGGAAAGGCUUUGGGGUCCAUCUGAGGAGUUUGGUGGGCAGCUGGGAGCAGGGCCAGCGGCAGUCUUUAGAGGGAGAUGGGGCUGGGAGAGAACUCCAAGGAUGCAUGGAGGUUAGCAUUUGGAAGAAGGUGUUAGGGGGAAUAUGGGGUUUGGUGAUGGAUUUGUCUUCUAUCCCUUUGCCUUGUAGGAAGUAUAUUACCUCAUGGUGGGCAAUGGAAGAGAGAGAGAGAGAGAGCUCUAUCUCUUCCCUUGUUCUGAACAAAAUCUACAGUGAGUCCAAACCAAAAGCUUCAUCAUUAUGAGUUCUAUGGAACAAAGAUGAAGGGGUUAGAUCUGUGACCUGAAUGGGAAAUUUAGAAGAUAAUUCUUGUUCAGAGAGAUGAGCAACUAAAAGAAAUGUAAGGUAAGCGAGGAUUUGUUGUACCAAAGUAUGCUAUGCUAUGCUUUCAUGAUACUCUUAAUAUAUAUUUUUUCCUACAAAGAGUAAGAGAUGAAGGUGGUGAUUCCAACUUAGAAUUUUACAAUAAUUUAUCAAGAUUUUUACCAACUAUUUUUAUUAUAUUUUAGUGGGGCUUCAAUGCGUCCAACUUUUAACAUAAGCUCUUAACCAACCACUCUUUAACAUAUUUUGAUGAGACUUAAAUAUACAUUUCCACAUAUAUUUUUAAAUAUUUAAAUUCUUCAUAUAUAUAACUCUGGUUAGGAUAUAUCCUAAUAACUUAGGUUAGCUAUCAUUAACUGAGGUUAUUAGUAAUUAAAAAAAAUUACUUUCAUUGAAAAUUCAAUGCAAACAAGUACACAUGAAAAUUAUUUUUUUGAAAAUAUAUUUAAAUGAAAUAUGAUAAUGAUCAUCUGAUGAAGAAGAUUAACCACAAUCGUAUUUAUAUUGCUUUUUGAGUUCUGUGGUGAAAUAUAUGUAUAAAAUUUGCCAAUAAUAAUUGGAUCAAACAUGAGAUAUUUUUCAAUGAUGAUUGAAUUCUUGCUUUUGAAUUCACGCAAAGAAUCCCACUUGGACUAAGAAAGGAAUCAUUCACUUCUUUUCCAUCCAUUAACUUCAAAUUAAGGGAUCCAUUCGAGCAUGUCACUAUUAUGCAACAAUGAUGCAUGGAUACAAAUACAAUGAAUCAAUAUGACAUGAUACAAAUAUACCACCUUUGUAAAGAUUACAUAAUUGAUCACACAAAAACAACUUGGCAGACUACAAAACCUGGAAUUUGGGCAUCAACAUCACUCUUGUUAGUCUUUGGCAUCCACUAAUAAUACAGCUCAUCGGGCAAUUUAUGUUAAGUAAUGAGAUUGUUUCCAGGCUAUCAGUUUGAUUAUUCCAUCCGAUUUUAACCCAUGGAAUCAACAUCCAUUACAACCCAUGCACAUGUUCAGUAAUAUAAUUACACAGACAUCUUGGGGAAAAAGCAGAGCAACAAGCCGAUACAACAUACAAAUAUGUGAAUCGAGGUACAUGAAACGCUCAAAUGGCAGCAACUUCAUAGUCUAAACUACCACGGGACGUUCCAUAUCCAACACGAUCCUUGUGGCUUCCCAAACAAUCUGUCCAUCAAUGUAGUGCUGUCUACAUACAGGCAUAUAAACAUCAGCUCCACCAAUUAGUUCUGUUUGUUUUUCCUUUGUUUUCCUCAAGGUAAAGAAUGCACGUCCACCACACAACUCACACCUUGCGGUAAGCUUGGUAACUGAAUUAGCUAGCGGAAUGAUGUCAAGCACCGAGCCAAAUCUCCUUCUGCCAAAAAAUGUAAAUUUGGUCAGGAUAAAAGAGCCACGGGAGAUCAUGCUCUGUGCUUUUGCACCCGGCAUCUUGCAAAUAAAAUGCAUGUUUGAAGCAAACAACCAUAAGGAGGCCAAAGUAUCCUUAAAAUACCAGUAGAAUAUGUGGAAAGCCCAAUUUUGCUCUUUAAACACAGCAGUCUCCUUACAUAAAAUGACUAGGCAGGGUGCAUAAAUGUAUGGAGAGUACCUUAGGUAGUCACCAUCCAAGCCUGCAACAAUAACAGUCUUCCUAUCACGAUCAGCUGCAUUGCAGCAAAAAUCAUAAAGAUCUUCAAAGAACUGGGCUUCAUCAAUCCCUAUCACAUCCAACUGCCAGCAUACACAAGUAACCCAGACAACGAUGUUACUGUUAGAAAAAGAAAAUUAGCCACAGGCAGAUGCACGUGCAAAAAUCAGCUGCUAAAAUAACAGAAGAGAUGAGACGGGCAACUAGAAGCAUUCAGGACUUUAACAACAAUGGGUUUUGGGAAACAUAAUCUUCAAAUUGAUUCUGAUUAUCUAGUAAUGGACAAACAAAAGUUCUAAGAGGAUCAUUUUAUUCUCUUAGAACGUGGACACAGAGACUGAAUUAUGACCAUCUUUAUUCGUAAAAUCUAGCAAAGCAUAUUGGCGUAAGCAAUUUUAUAAACAGAUUAAAAUAACAACACAUUCCAGUUAUCCUUUGUUGGCCUACAGAAAAAAUAUGCAACUGCAUUUUCUUCAUCCUCAACCAUCCGAAUAUCAAUAUAAACUGAAUGUUAUAGUUAUAAAUGCAAUGAAGAACACUCGGAACUCCUCAACCAUUGGAAACUAAAGCAAGGAGACCAAAACUCGCCAGUUUUCCUGUCAACAAGAGCAUAAAGAUUAUUAGCUUAACUCUUGGAUACCUUAUCAUAUGCUUCGGCUCCUAGUCUUUCUCGGAACAUAGAAAGUGCUGGCAGAGCCAUGCAUGGCAUUCUCGUACCAUCAUGUGUCACAAUUGCAUCCACCCCAUACCUUGUGUCCUUGUCGGAUUUAAUUAUGGCCACAGUUCUGCUUAAGAAGUGUUAUCAGAUUAAUCUCACAUUUUACAUCAAGGUCACGUUUGAUGUAAAUAUUAAUAUCACAUCAUCAGAUAAAGAAGUUCCGUGACAAGAAUGCAAAAGGAAAAAAAGUCUCGAAACACAAGCGUUUUGCAUCGAAAAGCAAAUCCUGGACAUUUACAACAACCCGAUGCUUAGUUGCUGAUUAGAUGAAGUUCUAUGACUGAAGAGUGUAAAAAAUCAGUCUCAAAACACAUUAUUACAUUUUGCAUUGAAAAAACAAAAGAAAUUUUAAUAGCACCCCCUGUUCAAUUAACGAUUGAAUGGAGUUCUCGUGAAGACUUGGUUUCGAAACACAAUAUUACAUUUUGCAUUGAAAACGACAAUAAAGUCAGCGAAGACUGUAAAGAUCCAAUCUUGAAACACAAGAUUACAUAUUACAUAAACAAAGGACAUUAAAGCAAAAAACUCAUUUACGGCGCAAAGUGAGGAGUGCGGAGGAGGAUCCUACCUUCCGUUAUUCCUUUCGGCUUGGAUUCGACGGAGGAGAGUGGUGGUCUUUCCGGCGAACAUCGGGCCGACGAUCACAUGGAUCUCGCCGCAGCAAGGGCGCGAUUGCAUAUCGGACUCAUGAUCUCCGGGGGACGUUCUACAAUAGGGUCUGAAGGAGGUGAAAUGGGUGGCAGGUUUUGGGAGGCGGACGAAAGGUGAUUUGGCCAACGAUUUGGGGAAGUGGAACGUGCGAAACGAAGGGAGGAGGAGAGGUGGGGAGGGUUUGAGAAGAAGGUGGUGAUGGGAAGGAGGCGGAGGAGAAGAGAUGUGGAAGGGAAGGAUAAACCUCAACAUGGAGCGCAUAUAUCGUGGGAGGGUGGAAGGGAAAGGGGGUUUAGGGUUUGGGAACGCAAGGGGGUGAGUAGCAGAGGCACAUGUCUCCCUUCAUUUGGGAGUGGACGGGCUGUGCUACCUUAUACAAAAAUUAAAUAAAUUAAAAAUCAUUUCCAACUCAGAAUUAUAAUGGGCGAAUUUUCGAAAAAAAAAUCCUGAAAAUUAGAACGCUUCAAGUUUAAUUUUUUUUUUUUUUUUAUAAUGAUCAUUCUGCUCACUAACCAUCACCCACUAUCCAACCUCGAUUGCGCUUUUAUCUCAUCGAUCGUCUCCUUUCGUUAUGCUAACCAUCAUUCUUUGUUAGAUCAUGUUAGACCCAUAAUAGAGGUACAAUCUUUACGACUCCUCCAAUGCCAACGAUCGAGUCUGCAAGCGAGGACGAUGGUGAGGAGGGGCAUGAGGAGAUCGCAUCGAUAAGGAAGGAAUAUGAAGAUGCUACACGAUCCCUUUGUUGCUAAUGAUGAAGGUGUAACAGUAAGAUCUUACGUGAGGGUUAUAGAUAAAAGAGAGGUGGCUAGAAAUAGGGUAGAGGGAGCACCCAAGAUUAUUGGCAUUAAUAGUGGAUAUUUAUGUGAGGGUAAUAGGCAACGAUAACGAGCCCUGAUGUAAGGGUUACAGGGGAAGGAGGGUAGCCAAGGUUGUGAGCAACAAUAGCCCUCCCUCGUGUGAGGGCUACAGUCGAUGACGAUAACAUGUUGCGAUGUAAGACGGAUGCGAUUAUAAAUUUUAAAAAAAUAUAUUUUUAAAUUUAUUAGGGAUAAGAUGGUAUUUUCAUGUAAUUAGGGGUAUUAUACUAGAAUGUUUUAAACUUGAAACAUUAUAUGAGAAAUUUUUAAGAGAUUUUUUAUAAAAAUAAUUAUAUUAAAAAAUAUUUAAAAGUCACAUCUAUUAUUUAUAAACUUAAUUAUAUUUUAAUUUUUUUACUUUAUAAAUGGUCUAUCAUGAUUGUAAUAUGAAACAUAUCACUUAUGCAAUAAUAUAUUAACGAGACUAUUUUGUUCAUAUCAUUUUCAUUCACGAUAUUAUAAAUCUAUGAUCGGAUCAGUUGAUCCAUCAAUUGAAUCGAGUUAUUUGAGAUUUGACUGAGUCAAUAUAACAUUGUUGAAAGGAGUGAUAGUUGGAUUUGCAACUAAUCCUCAUAUAAUUAUUAUUUAGAGAGAUAAGAACAAGAAUGUGACAUUGGAAUUCCCCUCGUCAAAAAAUGAUAAGAGAUUGAAGAAUGUCCAUAUGUCACUUUCUCUUAAACUCUAUCACCCAAAGGCAAUUACUGAGAGGAGAAGCUUCCAAGUUUGCCGUCCAAAGCCAGCCACCAACCCCACCACCUCCUCUAUUUCUACCUUCCCCUCUCCCUCUCCUACCUUCCACCACCCUCAUCCCACAAGCUUAUCAGCACCUUCUCUCCUUCCAUCUCCCUUCCUUGCUCCAAUCUCUUCUUCCCACAAGCUGCAGUUUCAGUCUCAGUUCCCAUGAUGCAGGCCAUCUUCCUUUGCCUGUUACUAUCUUUCUCCCUCCAAUCCUCCUCGGCUCAAGCUCAAAACUGUUCCAGCGAGAGCUUCUCCGGGAACAGGCAGUACUCAUCCUGCAACUCCCUCCCUUACCUCGGCGCCUCACUGCACUGGACCUACCAUGCCUCCAGUGGAACAGUUGACGUCGCCUACCGCGCGCCGCAGUCUUCCUCCGGCUGGGUCGCCUGGGCCAUUAACCCCUCCGGUACCGGCAUGAUCGGCGCCAACGCCUUCCUCGCCUUCCCGGAUUCUGCCGCCGGCGCCGUGACUGUUUGGACCACGCAGCUGUCCACGUACUCCCCCACCGUGCAGGACCAGAACUUGAGCUUCAGUGUGUACAGCAAGUCGGCGGAGUACUCCGACGGGUCAUACACCAUUUACGCGACGCUGGAGGUGCCGAGCAAUAACACGAAGGUGAACGUAGUGUGGCAGGCGUCGACGCAGAUCAAGAAUGGAGUGCCGAACGGCCACUCCACCCUCGGCGACAACGUCAACUCGCAGAGCACUCUGGAUCUGCUGUCGGGGCAUGCAGCAUCUGCUGCAGAUAAUUCGAAGCAGCACCGAAUGAAUGUGAGAAACUUGCUGAGGUUUAGCUGUAUGCAUCUUAUUUUGUCUUCUUUCCUGCUCUAAGAUGAAGUCAAAGACGGAAACCAUGUUGCUCGGAGGAUCGAUGAACCGACUCAUAAUAGAUACAUGUGAGGAUGAUGUUGGUGAUGAGCACUUGGUCUUAAUUCUUUGACUGCAAGGUAAUGUUGUCUUGGUGCUGUUGACCGCACAGCCAAUAUGGCCGGGUUCGGCCUUGAAGGCACAGAUUCAUCUUAGGUACCGUUGACCAUAUAGUCAAUAUGACUUGAUUCGAUUUCGAGGGCACAUAUUCGUCCUUAGAGUCCACGCCAAAGCAAAGGAGUCAACCUGACCGAGCAGCCGAGGAGGUAAGUGGACUCUCGAGGCAUUGCGAGCUCGCGGUGGUUGACUCGAUGUCAUCCUGAGAUGUGGCUCAUUUGUUAGAGGAGGUUCGAGGUCAUCCCGAGGUGUGGUUUGGCAUUUUAGAAGUGCUCAGCGUCACUCUGGGGUGCUUGUUAGAUGCGCCUAGGUCCUGCACAAGUAGUCGGCGAUGUCCCAAUCCGACCCCUCUAACGCUUAAGUUAGUAAAGUGGAGGAGGUUUAGUAUGACUCAGGAGAGUUAAGAUAGAGUUCGUCUACCCCCAUUUGGCCUGGGGGCCUAGGUUUUAUACUUGAUCAGUGGCGUGAAGUCAGUGAUAGGUUAGGAUGUCCCUUACCCUGCCAGGGGAUCAUCGAUGGUGGUAGCUGACGAGCGUGUCAUAGUAGGACACUUGUGAUGAUAUACUUUAUGAGGGUUCUUGGCUUGUCUAGGACAGGCAGAGAAUGACCCCCUAUGUUGUUCGUCCGGAAGGUAGGGUCGAGGAAGUUGCAUCAUGCCACCUGGCCUCAAUGCGCGCAUGUAGGCCUUCCCUUAGCUACGGUUGAGGUGGCUUCUUCGGUCCAGGUGGUGGGGUGAGUUGGCAGUGCCUUUAUUAGAUCAACAUGCACUCAUGAUUCUAUAUUGAAAAUAUAUUUUGUUUUACUCAUAAUUACCAAUGUCAACCAUUCAACACCAGCUAUGUUAGGUAACUUUUUUCUGGGAUCUUUUCCACCAUUUUCCUCAUCUUCCCUACUGCAUAUUUUGCAUCUUAAUUUGUCUGCAACUUUGAUUUGUCCAGAUUCUUUUAAAUGCUUGAAUUAAGCAGAACAUCAUGGAACUAAUGAGUUAAAGUCCCCUUCUUUUGGGCCAUUUGUUUCAGUAUUAGCUUCAGUAGACCAUCACUAUCUGAAUAUUCUAUGUACCAUCCAACAAAGAAACUGGAAAUUUUUGAUAGCUGACAACAGGGAUUCAAUUUCUACCAGUACUAAUAUUUUAUCUAUCAUGAUGAUACAUCAUCUACUGGUUACUGAACAUUACUGAGUUGGAUUUCAGAUUCAUGGGGUGUUGAAUGCUGUCAGCUGGGGUGUCAUGAUGCCAAUUGGGGCCAUCAUAGCCAGGUAUCUGAGAGUGUUUCAAGCAGCUGAUCCUGCUUGGUAUUAUCUCCACAUUGCUUGCCAGAUCUCAGCAUACAUAAUUGGGGUCUCUGGAUGGGGUCUUGGCCUCAAGCUAGGAAGUGAAUCUGUUGGUGUCGUUCAUCACAAGCACAGGAUGGUGGGAAUUGCCCUCUUCUGCCUCGCCACACUUCAGGUACUCCAAUUCAUAACCUCUCAUUAUCUUGCACAGAGUGAGUGCAUCUUAAGACUUUGCAAAUUCUUUGGAAUCCAUGUUUUCCCUCAUCUAUGCAGCAUCACCAGGCAAAAGUCAAUUGAUUCUAGUCUCAAAAUAAGCUACACAGAGAGAGAUUUAGUGUAGAACUCCUUAAGGACCUCAUCUCGUCUCUGCAGGUGUUUGCAUUGCUUCUAAGGCCAGACAAGAAGAACAAGCACAGGAUCUACUGGAACAUGUACCACCACUCGGUCGGAUACCUUGUCAUAAUCCUGAGUGUUGUGAACAUCUUUGAAGGCUUUGAGAUACUGCUCCCUGCCAAGAAGUGGAAACAUGCCUACAUUGCUACCAUUGUGCUGCUGCUUGUCAUUGCACUUGUCCUGGAAGUGAUCACUUGGGCUGUAGUCCUCAGGAGGAGGUCGAAAAGCUCCGAGAAGUCACACCAUGGAUCCAAUGGUGUCAAUGGCCAUGGUGUCAAGCAGUAUCAGGUGGCUUAGAUAGAGCCUGGCUUGCAAUGCAGGCUGUGUGUGCUUGGAGAUCUCUCUUUGCUAUGAGGACUGGUUGUAUUCUUAUGCAUGUUUAGGGGAGAGAGCAUUAUUGAUACCAUAGUUAUUUUAUUUAUUUUUCAAGGCUGACAUGCAUUCUACCCUUUUUGAGUUUCAUUGUAAUAAUAUGAUCUGAUUUAUAUUGAGGAGUUGAUCAUUCAUUUUGGUCUUGUUAAUUCAUGCUGAAAGCUGAAUUGUAACUGCUGAAAAGAUCCAUGUAGACUAUUUCCAAGCCAACUAAAUCCAGCAAUAUAUAGCAAUAGCAACAAAGCAUGAAAGAAGCCUGAAACAAAUUCAGCAACUGGAUGAUUGGCUAUGAUCACAAAGUCAGCUUGAUAAUCUAACUCUGCUUCUGAAUCCAGUCUUUGAAUUUUAGGGGCCAUUGACUAUUAGAUAAUCCUACCUUCUCUUAUUUCUGUUUAUGAUCAACAUAUUAAAGAUCAAGCUUUUGAAUACCUCAUCUCCACUUUCUCUUCCUCCUUAGAUAGGUAUCCUCAUCUCAUCCUCCUCCUUAACUUUCUCUUCCCUUGCCUACUCUUUCGGUUCCUCUCCUCCUCCUCCUCCCUCUUUUUCUCUUCUCUCUUCUUUUAUAUGUGAUCCAAAUUAUAUCGAUCUAUAACGAGUGUCAAUACGAUAAUUUUGUACUGGUAUUAUACCGGUUCGGCCUAAUUGGUAUCGGCACCAAACCGAGAUUUUACAUUAGAUAUCCUUGGUGCUUAAGAUUUACAAGUGCAUGGAUUUUGAAGCAUGAAUGGUGCUGCUCAACAUAAAUUUCUGACUUGUAUCAUUCGAAAGCCUCUAAUUAUUCAAGGACUGGAAUUUUUCAUUGUUUAUAAGCUGAAACUGGAUUAAAUUACAUGUUCAUACUAAUUAGUGUGUUUCACUUCAAUAUUUAUCUGAAUAUUUUCAACAGUUAUUUUUUUAAAAUUUCUACAUCACUAAAAAGUCUUUAGCAGGAAGAACAAUUAUGCCGCUUGAGAUAAAUUUUAGCUACCAAACAGCUUUCAUGGAUAAAAACAAUUUUAGACUUCAAAUUAAGCUUUUAGCAAAGUAAUAUUUUCUUUUUUUGGUGGUCAAGGAGAAAAAAAGAACUUGUGUGAUGAAGUAAUUAUCUGCAGAGUAAAAACAGAAAAGCCUUGCAAAGGUGUAAGAAUAAGGAAGAAGAUGUCCACUACUUUGCUGAAAAAGACAAGCUGACAACACAUGAAAAGAUCAGCAUAUUAGACUAGCCAAGCAAUCCUGACAUGGUGAUCAUCACAAGCCUACCAUCUCUAUCCAACACAAAUUUAUUGAUGGCUGCUAGUUGACUUUUAGCAUAAUGAUCAUCACUAACCUAGACCAAAUGUUGAAUUCUGCACUGCUACAUUGUCUUUAGUUACUAGAUUGUUUUGUAAGUUCACCAACUUUACCUCACCUCUUCUGCUUCAAACAAUGUGUCUGUCAUUGUAACUUUUUGGCUGUAGCUUAAAGUUGGUGAAAGAAACACAAGUCAUUAGCUUAAUGCAACACAAGGUAAAAAGCUUCAAAUCCUUGCAUGCCACCAAAGCAUGCAUGGUUGAGCAAUCCUCCAUGGCUCCUCUUCUUCCUUCCAAUUGCAGUUGGUUGGAAGAACAAGCUUCCUCUUUUUUCCAUUUCCAUUCUAUUUAAUCUGAUCUGCUGCUGCUGUUGUUAGCAGAGUGGUUAGCCUGCUUUCUUUGUUUGUCCUCACCUCUUCCAGUCUGUUCAUAUGAAAUUAAGGGGAAAUAGCUGAUGAUACAACUUAUGUGAAGCUGCAUCAAUAUCGAAUGCGAUGAUGAUCAAUGUAUGUAAUUUUACUUGUUUACGAACGAAGAAACUAUUUUCAUGACUCGAACUCUCAGAAUCCGAUUUGUAAAGAUAUCAUGUAGCAUCGACCUAAAAACGAUCAAAAUAUAUGGAGGCCUUAUUAAAUCAUAUAUAACUUAUUAUGUAAAAUCUUAAGAUGAUAGAAAUUAUAUAUGCAAUUAUUUUGUUACCAUAAUAAAUUUUUAAUUGAAAUGAUAACAAAAUAAAAUAUAUUUGAUUAAGAUGCACUCAAAACCUUGAUAAUCUAAUUAAUAAUUAUUUUAUAACCCCAAAAUAUUUUUUUAUUUGUUAACAAUUGAUCACUCCACACUGAAAAUAUUCAAUCUCAUAUAGUUCAGACCUAGCUAUCGUUUAACGGGAUCAUCUUAUACUCUAUAAACAUAUGAUUUGCCUUGACUUAAAUUUAAUCAAACAGAUAAAUAACUAAGAUAUAUUAGUCUUUUUAAAAAUUGAUAUCCUAAUUUUAUAUUUUUUAUAAAUUUAAAAUUAAUACCUAACGAAUUUGCAUGAUUUAAAAUCAAGAAAAAAAUCUCUAUCUUUAGGUUUUUCUAUCUAGCGACCUAUGUUUAAAAAUUUUUAGCAAAGCAUUUCAUUUUUAAAAAAUGAUCAUUAUUAUCCUUAUUGGUAAUUGCUUUUUAUUGUGUCUCCAUCUUGCAUUUAGUUGUCUCCCCUAUUGCCUCUCUUCCCUCUCCUAGUCACCUGCGUUUCAGUGCACGAGUUGCCAAGUAACAUUGCCCCACCUGUCUCCCCCCAUUCUCUCUCUUGGCCAUGCUAUGCCUCUGCAUGCGGGCUAGUAGGACUUAUCACUUCUCUCUUAUCCCUUAGCUAUAUGUGUUUUCGCAUAAGUAGGGUCAACAAGCCAGGCACCUAAGUACGAGCGAAAGUAUGGUUAGUAUGGGGGCUACAACGAAAUUUUUUUUAAGAUUAAAGAGAAAAUUGAUCUUUUUAUAGCAAAGGACACACCUUGAGAAUUUUCAAAUUUAGGACGUACUAAAAGAAAUCUCUAAAAUUAUGAGAUUUUUUUAAAGAAUUUUCAUAUAUAUAUAUAUAUAUAUAUAAAAUCUACUUGGGAAAUUAUAAAAUUACAACCCAAGUCACGUAGGAAGAGUAAUAUACUCGAUGAUACCUAAAGUCACGACUCGACGCGACCCAUCCGCCAUCUCAACGUCCUUACGUGCCACGCUGGUGUGUCGCCAUUCGAAUGUAAUACAGAUCAUGGUUUAGAAAUCGUUAAUUGAAUCGUUAGACGUUUGGGAGUCACCAAUUAAGUCACACUGCACAUCCGACGGGAGCCAUCCGUCCGCAUGCCCGUAACUUGAAUCUUGUCUUAUUUUAAGACGCGACUCAAGCGGCCAAAAUAUAACCCCCGGAGGGACAGAACACGAAUCCCAAGCCCCUUGCCAUCUCUCUCUCUCCUCACGCCUUGCAAGCAAGAGAGAAGACCGGAGUAGAGAGAGAGAGAGAGAGAGAAAGUGAUCGUUCUUUUCCCCCUUUAGCUCACAGAUUUGCAGAGCAUCCUUUCCUCCUCAAGCUCACAAGAACUCCGCAUCUCUGUCCGCUGUUAAUCCAAGCAUUCCCCUCUUCAUCACGGCAUUGAUCUAACCCGAGUCCUUGAUCGGAGAUCACCGCCCGCCUUCACCGGUCGCGCUGGAAGGCGUCGAGAUUUGGGCUCUCUCGGUGCUUUUCUUGAAGAGACCGCAGAGGUCGCCGAACAUUACGUCUACUUCGGGGUUUUGGUUCAAGAUCAUGAUUUGUUUGUCGCUCCUUUGGGGAAUGGCUUGCAGAGUGUAGAGGAUGCCUGACAUAGAUGGGUAGAAGUGUGGUAAAUCAACUAUUCCUUUGUUUUGUUGCUCCAAAAUUUGGUUGGGGAGUUGAUCGAAACUUGCACGAGAAUAAGUUUGGAUGCCUUUUCUAAUGAGGGCGAUGAAUGUCAGUUAUAGUUCCCAAAAGUUUCUGUUUCUGAACUCUUAGAAACGAAUCGCCUUUUCCAUGGUAAAUUGCCGCGCCGUAGGGGUUGUGAACCUGACGUUAUGUUUCUUUACUUAAAAGCUUCGUGAGUUUUUGAUGCAUUCUUUCAUAAACGUAAGGUUGAUACCAGAAAGCUUCUUUAUAUUGUGAGAAAUCUUGACAGCUUAGAACUGUAAGCCCCAACCAAACAACGACUCUGUUUUUUUAUCUGAACCUUUUCUCCUGGCAGUCCUUGUAAUUCCUUGAAGAGGAUUACAUUGUAAGAGCAUUCCACAAACUUGGGACAUGACGACUUGUAGUAGCUUUCUGUUGUUGUAGGAACACGUUGUAAGACUCCUUGCUGAGUUUUCUAAAUUAAGGUCAUAAUUUUUGAGUUGACAAAUUCAUGUAUAAGCUCAACUUAUUUAUCUGUGCCUUACUGCAGAUUUGCUGGACUUGAUGCUGUCUUAUUCCCCAUGAAACAAGAAACUUCUUAAUUCUAAUACUAAUGGUAAAUAGAUGCCAUUCUCUUUCUUAUUUUUUGUCCUUAUGUUAAUCUUUAUUUUUUGGUAUUUUAAUUCAGUUGAUUCUGGCUUCAAUUUGGCAGGAUUCCAGUAGAAUAGGAGGAAACAUGAGCCAUAGUCGCCAGAUGGAAGUUCAUUAUAUAGAUACUGGAUUUCCCUACACUGUUACAGAGAGCUUUAUGGAUUUGUUUGAAGGCCUUAUGUAUCCUCAGACCGAUGCCAAUUCAGCAGAAGUUUUUCAGGAUCAGGUAGUUAAAGUAAUGUAGCAGUUCCAUGGCUGUCCGUAUUAACUUAAAUUGAUCUUAUUCUUUGCUCACACCAGUUACUGAAUGCAUGAAUUUUAGAGUUGACAUUGGGUUUUUUUGUCAAUUGCAGCAAAAAGCUGAUCCAGAUUAAUUUUGUUUUUGUGGCAUUUAAUUUUUGACUUCUGUUAAUUCAAUGGUUAAGUGUUAUUAGGUUUGCAAUAUCUAUAAAUACUUUGGAAGAUUAAACUACUUUGGCACUAUAUUUGUUGUAAUUAUGAAUUGAUUAAUGCUAAUAUAGUAAUGUUUCAAAAAGAGAAAAUGGUUUUGCAUCCUUUCUUAGGUAACUUUUCACCUUUCUAUUCAAAUUGAUGAUCACUUGCCUUGCAAAAAAGGAAAACACAUGGAUUCAUCCAUUUCCUUUUUCCGAAAGGAGAUACAAAUUUUCAGAGAUAUUUGUAUUAGCCUAGUAUGAGGCUCCAGCCAAUGUGGGUUAUGGUUUUAUUUAUAGUGUAUUCUUGAUGAUGUUUUCUGCCAUCACUUAAAUGUCACUGUGAAUCUUAAUUACCAAACUUAUCACUUUAUGCCUCAUCCAGUUCUCAUUCUUGGAGGAAUUGGUUUCAUUUUCUUUCCCAUAUUUUAGGAGUAAAACUUGUAAAUCAAUAGCAAUUUAGUGGUUUGUGGUAAUCUGCAUAAUUCUUAAAUUGGUGAUCAUAUGCAGGGAAAUGCAUAUCACUCAACAGUUCAUACAAGCUCAUUCAAGUAUGGGUUUUCUAGUGCAGCUAGUGAUUCAUAUUACAGUUUCGGCCAUGCGCAUGAGAUAAAUUGUUUUACUCCACAAUUAGACGCAGCAAGGAGGAUGUGGGAUGACCCUGCCCCAUUGAACAUAUUUGACUCACCACAACUAUUUCUGCAUGGGAAUUUAGGUGUGGAAACAAGAACUCCUAGUGCCGAAGAAUGUAAGUUAGACCUGGCUUUUCUGUUUAUCAUGUCUGCCAUAUCCAUUUAGUAUACCUGCUUGAAAUUUGUUAAAUCAUGGAGACAACUCUGGGAUUAUGUGUCCACUUCUGAGAUCCAUGGUGAUACUUUGUAUUAUUGAUCUAAUGCUUAAUACUUUUGUUGUAUUGGUUUGAGGCCACAUGUGCUUUUCAAGUAACUCCUUUUGAAUAGUGAAAUCUCCAGCCAUGCAACUUACAUGCUGUUUUAGUGAUGUCUUCUUUCUGAUUUGUGUUACUCACCAAACAUUCAACUUCACAUGCCUGUAAUUCUAUCUACCAUCUGUGUGUUGCUAUUGUGUGUCAACCAUAUCAUAUCCAUGUGAAUUUGCUAUUGUUUAGGAACCAUCAAGGAUGUUCCAUAUAUAUAGUUCACUUUUUGUUUAAUGCAUGUGAGAUGCUCAUGCUGUUCAAAUACUCAGAGAUUUGGUUGUAAAUCCUACCGAAAAGGAAUCUACUGACUAUAGAACUCAUUGGAAGGGUGCUAAAGGCAUCAUCUAAGGAAAGAGGACUAAAUUAGCAUAUAAUAUAGGAAUUUGAAAAUACUUGAAAUGUAUUAUAUUGAAAAAAACUAAGUUCACAUAUGGAGCCCCAACAGUGUUCACCUCAUAUGGAUGAAACUUACUGUUUUGAUAGGUUGCGAAGAUUGAAACAGAGGGGUCUUGGUUCUUGUUACAUAGUCUGCUCCCUUAUCUGAAAUUUGGACCUUUUAAACCAAGCAAACCUUUUCUGAAUCCACUCCAGUUCUCUAUAUUUUAGAACUGAGUUCCGAGUCUUUGACACUAUGGUUACAUGUCAGAAAUGUGAAAGAUUGCGCAACCGCAAUCUCCUUCCUAAAGGACUACCCACCACUCUACCACAUAUGGUCAUCAGAGAUGAAGCUGGAGCAGAUCAAAAGUAACGUGCUAUCCUUCUAUUGCAAAAUCAACCAGUUCCAUCUUUUUUUUAUUCACUUUUUUGUUCUUUGUUUCAGUGGCAAACUGACUGCUGGCUAGAACAACAAGAUACAUUUCAAGCUGAUUCUCACCCUUUGUGCUGUCGGAACUUGAAUUUAGUAAAUUGGAUAAAUCUCACCUGAGUUGAACCUAACCAGUUCUUUAGUGGUGUAGAAAACUUAAAAUUGAACCCAACCCACCUAAUGUACAGUAACUUUACCCGAUCACAUGACCUAUUUAUUAAACAUAUUGUGUUCCAUUGGAUGAUCCAAAACAUAGCACAAUUAAUGGCUUGCAUCAUGAUUUGUUUCACUUGCAGGACCUAGCUUGACAUGUUGAACACCACUGAACUAUUUUUGACAUGAAUUGUCCAGAGUCGAUUGACCUAAACCAGACACAUUUGAGAUCAUAUCCUGAAAAAAUGGUUUCACAUUGAACUCGGCUAUUAAAAGGGUCAGUUUGGGUAAGUCAAAUCAGUUUUCUAGCCUGAACAUAACUUGUUAUUGAUUGGGUUAAUCAUGUAAACCUAUUUAUGGCCUAGCACAUCUAAGCUCAUAUCAGACCUGCUAAAUCCAUGUUAGAUUGGCAUGUCAGUCCAAAAAUUUUAUCAGAAUAAAAAGAGGGCAUUCCAAACUGCUUAGAAAAUGAUCGAGCAAGGAUGAGCACAUUGAGCAAUGCUAUUUUAGUUCAUGUACAUUCUAAGGUGACUUGUAUUUUAACAUCAUUCACCUAUCAGUGGUAACAUGAGUAAUCUGAAAAAGUCUGAUCAAUAUGAACCAGCACGCAAAUGCAAGUCCAUCUUUGGAGAGUUAUGAUGAUGUAGUAUCAAGGGUGAUUAAGGACUCGGUGCUUGCUUUCUUCUUUGUUUUUUUAUCAUGUUCCUAGAAAACUGACUGCAUGGUGAAUCUGAACAAGUUCUUGGCCACUGAACUAGUGAUGGAAUUGAAGGUCUGUUAGUCAUUAGUUUAUAUGCAUAAUGCUCUAAGCUCUUCUUUUUUAAUCAUAGGCAUUCAGGUGCGAGAGAAUACAAAUGAUGGUGCAAAUGGUGGUCAGGUUAGGAGCUCUUUCAUAUGCUUUAUAGUUUCAACUAUAAAUUAUGUUAUUAUCAAAUCUUUUAGUUUGGAACUUCUUUUGUACGUUCUUUCAUACCUCAGUAAUCAGUUACUGCUGAUAUUUUUUGUUCAUCGAAUACCAUUAGCUAUGAAGCUCUAGUUGUGUUGUUUGUCCACAAAUUUGGAUUUCUGUAAUUCAGUCAAGACAUCUUGGAUCAAGUCUCACAUACUCUGGAAGCCCAUUCCAGCUGAGAAUCAAGAUUCAUUUCUGUUCAUUAAUUAGUUUCAUCAGGGUUGUCAGUAAAAAGGUUAUAAUUGCCAACUACCAUGCUAUCAAAGUAUAUAUUAAUUUUCGUUAUUACUGUUGCUUGUUGGUUAUUCAUUUGCUAUGCAAUUGAGAUAGAACUGGAUGAUUACUAAAUUUUGCAUUUGUUUUAUAAAUAUUGAUGGAACGUCUAAAAAUAUGAGUAUUUGUUGAUUGUUGCAACUAGCUUAUGACAUCAGAUUAUUGCUUUUCCGAUCAUCAUGAAAUAGAUAAUCUGAAUUCGGCUUAUAUGUUGCUACGAUAAACUUUCCUCAUUGUCGAUUGGCUGGUUGUACCCAAUUAAGCUAAUUCCUUCCACAAAACCUGGAAGUAUGAUCCUUAGGAUUAGGUGGUAACUUAUCACUGCCUCACACUUCUGAACCCACCUUUGUAUAUCCAGUGUUUCGCUGAUUUCAGUGCAGAAGAGCCAACAUCAUUUUAUUUAUUUUUAAUUAUUGUUUUUGUUAGCAUACCUAGAGAAUCAACGUCUUUAAUCAUAGAUUUAGGCUCUGUUUACAGAGUCUUAUCAGCACACAACGAAUUUGAUCUGCAGGACAUCAAAUAAGUAGAUGCCUUUCAGAUUAAAAUUAAAAAGCAGCAUCUAAUGAGGAAACUUUCACUGUACUAGUUUCUUCUUGCUAAAUUAGAUUAUCACCCAACCUGGCACAAUAUUUUUAAUCCUUAAAUCUCAUGCUCAAGAUCAUUAUAUAUGAAACCAAAAUUUGAUUAUCGAGAAGAAAAGACAAGUUGGUUAUAAGAGCAAAAACUGCCUGUAGGACUGUAUCCUAUAGCCUUAAUUUAGAAAAUUUUUGAUAUGACUAUUGAUAAUGUUAAUAUCCAACUUCUGAUGUUAUGACUUUAGAUGUGUAUUUCUUAGUCGUUGGAAUGGAGGUAGUCAACAACAUCCUAUCAAUCUAUUAAGAUGAAGUACAAAGCACUGGAGAAUUAUCUACAAGGUUCAAUUUCAUCUCCUCUGAAACAAAUUUUAUCCUAAUUAUCUUUCUGGGAGCAUACUGUGAUUAAUGACAUCAUGGCGACAAUGCAUGAGACAUCAAAGCUUAAAAGAGAGCUGAAAGACAUGAUUGAGCUUCAGAGAGUUCAUUUAGGUUGUGCAGUACAAUUGCAACAGUAUGUCACCUGGAGAAUUUACACUGUACUGAUGGCAUGCGGGCACAUCUUUAUGAGAAAUUUGAUUUGUGCUAGCAUGUGUUACUGGUGCUGCAUGUGGUGAAUAUUAGAACCUUGCGGGAGAUAUAUGUGCUAGUUUCACAAGGAACACAUCUUCCUUGUUGACUGUCGUUAAAGAACACUCAUCAUAGUUUUCCACUAUAGAGAACUAGAAAAUGAAGGCUGAUAAUGCUGCUGCUUUCUUUAUUCUUGCAUCAAUGUUCUGUAAGAUUUGCAAAUAUAUUUUCUCAUUGCUUUCGCUUGGCUUAGUAUAUAUUCAGUUAUUCUCAUGAUUUUAAGCACAACUUUGUUUUCAUUUGUUAAAUAAGGGGAUUGUUUUGUACUCCUUUUUCAUAGCUUUACUUGUGCACUUUAACUGAUUAAUCCUAUUCUUUUGUGGUUGCAGGCUGUUUGGCAGGACAACAUAGACCCAGACAACAUGACAUAUGAGGUUUUCCAUUGAUCUCAUCAAUUUUUUCUAAUGUCUUAUAUUCCUUUAUGAACAUAUUAGAUCUUGGUAUUCACUUAUGUGAUUUAUCAAGAUAAUAAUUUUCUGAUGAAUGAAUGUUCACCAAACAACUAAUGACAAGUUUACAUUGACAUUUUACAUAUGUUCUAUGUUUUUUGGUUUAAAUAUUAUGUGGAGGGAUUAUCAGAGCAAUGCUUGCAGGAAGGACUGUCUUCAGAUGAUAGAUGACACCACAAUUUAGUCCCAUAUCAGAUAGGAAGGAGAUUUAAAUUGAUCUAUAAAGCUAGACUGGACUAAUCCUGUUAAUAACACCAUAAAAGCGAAUUCUAUUUGCUGAUCUAAUCACUUGUCACUCCCACAUGACAGUUGUAAAGGACAUUCACGACUUUAAUAUUGACUAAUAUUUUAGUUACCAUCCAAGCCAAUCAUCCAGCUGGAGAAUCUAAUUUAUAUGUAGGCAUCUGAUAUUUCUACCAUUUAUGAUAGAUUAUGCAUUUUCAAUUUUAAUGGUAUUCUGGAGGUGUAAGAAUGGCCAAAUAUUAAAUUUGCCUAGUAGUUUACACUAAUGUUCUUUAUAUUUCAAUCUUGUGUUAGUUUGCAUUUGCAAGAGACCUUUAUAGUCAUUCUUCAAUAAUUUGGAAGAGCUCUUGUAAUGCCUAUAUGUUGGACGAGUACAUGUAGUAUCUCAAACUAUCAGGAUCUACAUGUCCAUCUCUCAUUUCAACCAGUCCUGUUACUGCAUGUACAUAUCAUUAUAGUUGAACUUGCAUGCACACUAAUAUUCAGGACACAGAUUUGGUCAUUAUUGAAAACAGGAGCACCAUUUAGAAUGAAUAAGAUAUUUUACAGAAUUAUUAUUAAUGCAAGUAAUAAUGGGUAGAGGAAAAUAAUUGUUCCUCUUGGUACACUAUAAGGCCUGUUAUUUGCUCUCAGAGCAUAAUAGUGUUUCAUAUUUAUUGGUAUUGUUUGUACUUUUCUCAAAGUUUUUGCCAUUCUCAUCCGGCAUCAGUAAUUUUCCUUUGGAGUAUGCUUUUCACAUUGGCAUAUCAAUUUAAACUUUGGAAUUUAGCAUGCAAUAACCUGUUGGUCACUCUUCAAGUUCUUUUUAUUCCCCUUGAUUAAAAUAUCUGAACAUUUUUAUCAAUUAUCAAAAUAAUAAACAGGAGUUACUUGAUUUGGGUGAGGCAGUUGGAACACAGAGCCAUGGUCUUUCUCAAGAACAAAUUUAUUCACUUCCUGUCUCAAAGUACAAGUGUGGCUUCUUUUCUAGGAAAAAAUCUCAGGGGGAGAGGUAAAGUUCUGGUUCUUAUGUUUGUUUAGAUGAUGAAGAUUCUUGUCUUUGUUUGCUACACAUGAAAAAAAAAAAAAAAAAAGAGCCUCGAACUCCCAUAUGAUUCCUGAUUUAUAUAUGUAGUUUAAUGGACAGAUUCAAAUACCGAUUGUAUAUGGUGAGUAAUGACUGGUAUUUACUGGUCCAACCAAGGAGCAGUAUCGGACUCAAGUAUCGGACCAUAUGGUUCAUACCAUAUUAUUUUUGUUAUUUUUGUGGACACUGGAUGGUACGAGUUGAUAUACUACCCGGUAUACUGUUAUUGUACCAGUCUGUUAGAUUACCGAAACUGGCAUUGGACCCCAAGUUAAAUCCUUGGUUUAAUGUGAUUCACCUCAUAUCUCCUAUUGCAUUGGUUCACAUUUAUUGGAUUUAAAAUCUUUUAGCAAUUUUUUUGCUAGGAAUAAUCCCAGCCUGCAAUGCUGGUAUUGCAUUUGGAACAAUCUUAAUUUUGACGUGGUUGAUGUUUUGGAACAUUUAAAGUAGUUUUUUUUGGGGGGGGGGGAGGAAUGAACAAAGGAAACAUAAUGAUAGUGCCUGAUCUUUUGUGUUGGAUUUGCAACUUGUUGAUUCACUGUGAGCCCACUAAUGCUGCAUUCAUCAGUCCAGACUCCACACCUCAUUACCAUUAUAGAUUGCAUUGUUUGGUAAAAGCAACAACUGGAAGCAUAUAAAGGGUACUAAUGCUUGUAUGAGUAGCAUCUGGUUGUAAGCAUAUAAAGGGUAUUAAUGCCAAGCUUUUACUCUGAAGAUCAUGGUGUUUUGCAAUGUACCAUGCUUCUUUUGUUGUUACCACCAGAUCAUGUCUCUCAAACCAAAUAUUCUUUCUAGCACUCGUUUAAAUGGAGCAGAAUGUUGAUUUGUAUGAACACGUAUAAAGAUGGAUUUAAGUGAUAGGAUCAGCCUUCCCCUUGUAACAUAACCUACACACGAAGAUUACCAAGCCAUCUGUAAUUCGUCUUUGGUUUUGGUUAACUACGACUCUUUACAUUUAUUCUUGAAGUGGACCAAAUUUUUAUAUGAAAUAUCUACCAUUAACUUCAUUUGAAAUUUCUGAAAGUCCUAAAAUUACUUUAUAUGUGCCAGAUGCAUCAUUUGCCAGAUGAACUACAAGAGAGGGGAUAGACAAAUUACUCUUCCAUGCAAGCAUGUCUAUCAUGCUAAUUGCGUGACACAGUGGCUUAGCAUAAACAAGGUUAGCAAGGAUUUCACUUUGUCAGUUAAUACAACUUUGUGUAUCUCCCGGGUGUAACCGAUCAGAUAUUUUCUUCUUGUAGGCAUGUCCAGUUUGCUUGGUGGAGGUCUCAGUUGAGGAGCCUAGGCGUCAAUGAAUUCUAGUCGGCGACUUGCACGGAAGUUUUUGGCUAUUUUCAUCACUUAAAAUUGCAUCUCUUUUUCUGUUUUUUUGCUUCCCUUUUCUAUUUCAUCUUCAUGUUUGCAAACAUGGAACUGGACCAGUUACACUGUUCUCCUUCUGUCUGGUGUGGCGCAAGGAUCAUGGUAGGUUAUGAUCAAGUAAAUGCAUUUAGGCCCAUGUUAAUUGGAUUCUGUUUGGCCCUAAAAGAUUCUGCUGCUUUAGUUAUGUGUUAUCUUUUUACUAGGAUAUGUCCUUCAUUUGAUCUCUGAAGACAGAGUUCCUCAGUUCUUGCUCCUAAGGAUUUCAUGCUUUACAGCUUUUGCAGACCACCCACUUGGCAAUCCAUCUGAUGAGUAAAGGAAGUUAAAGAUUCCUGAAUUCAUUUCCAGAGAAUGCAUGACGGAGGAGUCGUCAUGACGAUAAAGUUCUAACAAGCAGAUGUCCAUCUGCCCUAAUAUUUUGUGGUAUCAAUUCAUAAUAUCAAUCUUGUGUGUUGAAUUGUCCAUCUCAUUGUUGAUCUGUAGCUCCAGAGUCAGAUUGGUCUUGGAGAUAAAUCCGAGGUGCCAAAUUUCUUGCCAAGACAAACACUGCAUUAUCUAUGACUGUAGUUGGCACCCAUCUCAUAUUGUUUGCGUGUGUUUUUAGUUUUUUUUAUUAUUGAAGUCAAGUCAAGCUACAAUUGACUCUGCUGGUUUAGACCCAGUAAUCCUUGUCCUGAAUCCAAGCCUACCUGAUUGAUUGUGUGCUGACACAAAUUUAUUUGAUUCGGACAAUUUGUUACAGGGUUUCCAUCCAUCUUGACAAGAUCAGAAGCAGCAGAUGAUGCCUCUCGAAUUCAGGUUGUAGGUAAACUGUGAUGCCACAGCUAAAGAAUGUUUGAGACUUCCUAUUUCCUAUCAUUUUGUCUCCCAAUUUAGCUUCAUUCUUGUAGUAUCUAUUUCCUAUCAUGUUUACACCAGCAAAACACGGCAUAUUUCAGAGGAGAAAAACAAGCAAAUAUAUCCAUGUUAAUAAAAAUCCUGAAGAAAUAAAAGACAUGUAAUAACAUUAAAGGAGGUUGUUUCAUAAGCUUUCUCAAGAUUCAUGCUAAUGAUAACACAUAUCCUAGAUUUAAUAAUUAAUUGCGACCACAUCCAUAGUCAUGAAAUCAAGAAGCAGUAGGAAACCAACAUGGGUUCUAUGUGACAGUAGCAUUGCAAUAUUAGUUUUGCCUACCAAUUUGUUCUCCAAGAUUUCAAAAGCAAGGCUGCCUUGAUUUCACAUACCAGAGAUAGAAUGACAUGGAAGAAGUUUUGAUAUAGUCUCCAUGCCAAAAACCCCUUCUCAAGUAACUUUUUGCUUUGGACCAUUGGAACAGAGGGAAGUGCAUUUCCAUGACUCAUCUGAAUGACAGCAUACUACUAGUAAGAGUGAAACUGCAUCUUCCACAAUUGCCUACAUUUGAAUGACAAGAACAGCUGUAGAUUAAACAUAAAGGUUUAGAUUAAAAAAAAGUAUGAGCAUAUAUUACCAGUCACAACUGAAGGUCCAACAUGGUUGCUAUUUUUGAUGGACUGGCUAGGUGUUUCAAUGCUGCGACGAUUGUUUACUCUUUCCUUGCUCGGUUCCGUGCAGCUCUGGCCGUGGUUGAAUGCUCGGAUUGAGAAAAACGGAUAAAAAUGUGCAUAAUCAUAGUUACCAUUAAUAACGCUGCUGUGGUGAGUGCAACUCCUUUCCAUGUUGACAAGAGUUCAGUCCAUUUGAAGAAUCUGAAGGUAGCAUAUGAUAGGAGACUAAACCAAAAUGCCACGACCUGUUCGACUCAAGUUAAAUUAUCAAGAAAGGCAAAAGUGAGAUCCAGAAUGAGUCAUCUAAUAGCAAACUCAGUAGGAAUACUAGCAUCUUUAGAGAACAAAUUUAUCACCUCAAUUAAACAAUCCAUUCAUUUUGUGCAAAGAUGAUUUCCAUUGUCCAGUUUCUUUAAUCAGACAAAGUUCAGAGCAAAUAGAGAAGGAAAAAAACCUGGAAUCAUAUCAUAUCAUGAUAUUUGCAAUCUUAGACUCAAAUGCACAGUCCAUAUCAUAUCAUGACAUCUGCAAUAUUCGACUAGAACGUAAAGCCUUGGAAUCGUGAGCUUCUCAUAAGCAAAAGCAUUUUCAGCUACCUCAUUAUUCUCCUAGGUCAUAAACUAUCUAGACUAAUACACCACAAGAGAGCUGCCUCAUCGAACAAAGUUUCAACUUGGAAAAAAACAAAGUUGGAUAGAGCCUCAAUUUAAUCAUUAUAUGAUUUUUUUGAUAAUCCACUCGUGAAGAAAGUCCUGUUAUUCUUCAGAUAUAAAAUGGGACAGAGAUGAGAAAAACAUAUCUACCAUCAUAAUAUUAGAAGACAAUUGGGAUCCAUCUAAAACUCUAUGCUGACAUUUGCAGCUUCUUGGCUUUCUAUCAACAGAGGCAUUGUACAAAGACAUACAAUGCAACCCGAGAAAGCUGCUUUCUACUUGCUGAGGAGAGUUUCACCUUAGAGUGAAACAAUUUGACAAACACAUUAUGAUGUUGCAAGUUUACAAUGUUAACGGUCUUAUCUUGUACCAAAUAUUUUUUUUCUUUAUAUAACUUGUUUUAUUUAUACUGCCAAGAUGAGUAAUAUAUUACCAGCAAAGACUUCAUAGGCCGACCAAUUUGUCUUUGUUCAAUGCCAAAAGUACCCUCUGAUUGGUAUCUAUCCAGUAAAGCAUCCUGCCAGAGAAAUAAGUUCAAUGAUACAAUGAAAGGAACACAGAUAAGAAUCGUAAAGCAGCAGGACAUCAUUGCACAAAAGUGAAACCAAGAAUAUGUGACUAAAUUGCACAAUUUUAAUCACCUAAUAGAAACAAAAGAUCCUCAGAACUCUCGUAAAGCAUUGUGAGAAAGAAUACAUGCCUUAGCCACAAAUAUGUCUUUACACCACUGUGCCACUCCCUCAUCUGUUUCAGGCAGAUCGGUCAUUGCAUGGCGCUUCAUGUGGACAUAUACCUGCAAUCACAUAAGUCUUAGACAAGAACAAACUUGAAAACAGAUUUUGUUAUUACAUGAUACCAGUCCCUUAUUUUUCUGUUUUUAAUAAAUCAUUGAUAGAUCUUAAUAGCUUUCUCUCUCACCUCUUCCCCUAGCCUCCUCCUCUUCCUUCGCCAUCUCCUAUUCUUCUCCUUUUCCACCUCCUCCUGUUUAUCUUCCUCUCCUUCUCUUUCACUAUCUCCUCCUUUUCUCUGCUCCCUCCUCUUCUCCUAGUUCUCUACUCCUCCUCCGCCGCCACCUCCUCCUCCUCUACCUCCGGAUUGUCAGCACCUCUUUGUCAUUCACAUCACUGCCACUUUGUCCUCGCUGGUGUCACCGUUGCUGCCUCUUCAUCCCCUCUUACCUCCCCCACCCCACCCCCUUGGGUGUAUGUGCGCGUGCAGGGCCAGGGGAGUACCAAGUACCAACUGCUACCAACCCAUUACUGAAUGUUGUUACACAUGUGUAUGGUACUAUACCUGUCUAGUUAUGGACCAGUUUUGAAACCAAACCAAGAAUUUAGUCCAUGCCUUCUGACUUCUGAUAUACUUUUAACUUACAUCAAAUCUACAAGAUGGCUAUUACAGUAACAUAGAAAUAUCAUCCAUCCAGUAGCAAUCACAAAUAGCAUAAGAAAUUAACUUUAGAUCAAAAUGAUUAAGCAGUUCCAAUGAGAUCAACCAUAGUUAUACCCACAACUCAGUUCUCUCAGAAAUUAUCUAAACAUCAAUUUCCAUAGGAACACGUACUUAUCUUAAAUUGAUAACAGUUCUCUCAUAAAUUAACUAAACAUCUAUUUCCCUAGGAAACCUUGAACUUAUAUUAAAUUGAUAACCAUGAUACAGAAGUAACAUAUGCAUAUCAAUCACAUGUUACUCAGUGUAGCCCUAUCAAUAAUUCUUUGCUCCUUGACAUCCAAAAUUUCAGAAUCUGAGUUUCUUGGCCUUCAAAUAAAUCCAAGUAUUUUUAGAUGCAUUGCCUAAAUGCAACAGUGAACUGGGUUAGGGAGACACAUAAUGAUAGUGCAUAAUUUAGGAUGCAUACCACUGAAGAUUGCCCUUUCAGAAUCCUAAGCAUCGUUGGUGGAGGUUGAUCAGAAGGAAUAGCUACUGUUACGUCAUAGAUAGCAGGAACAAAGGGGCGCAUAAUGCUUACUGCUGAAACAAAACCCUGAAGACUAAACACAUGUCAAUACAUAUAUAGAUAUUUCAAUCUAUACUAAUCAAACCACAGAGAUACAAAAGAGUUUGCUAUCACAAUAGGAGAUAAAUAUUGAGUAUUCUGCUUUUGCAUAUCACCCCAUCUUGUAUCUAAGAUAUUCAAGCAAUAGAGCUAGUUUCAAGAUCAUCAAACACAGAAAUAAAACCAACAAAAGGAAACAGAUUCUCAUUGCAACAGUAAUUUGUCAAAAACUAAAAACAACCUUGGUCCGGGGAAUGAGAACAUUCCUAGGGAUAGGAAGACCUUGUGAAGCUGCAUAUUCUUGUGCUGCUAUAAGUUUUGCUGGUGUAAAACGUGUCCCCUCAACAAACAAAGCCAGCCAAAAUGGUCUAGGGAAGUCCUUCAAAUGUUGUAAACCCAACUGCAUGUCACAGAAACUCAAAUGAAAUAAAAAAGAACAAAAUCAAGAAAAGUGAACAGAGUACAAAAGAUGCAAAUAAAUAGUACCGUAAGUAUGUUCUCAUCCUUAGCCCAGCUUCUUUCAAGAAAGAGGUACUCAGUAAACCACAUUGACCAACCAAUAACCUGCAAUGAUGGUUCUAGAGAACUUAAUAUCAGAACACAGACUAUUAUGUAAUAAGAGGAUUACUCUAGAAACUUCAAAUGGACACAUAACAAAUGACUUUGUACUUCGCUAUGAAAAAAAAAUCUAUAUUUAAUGGCCUUGUGGGUACCAAGCAAAACAGACUAAUAAUAUAAGAAAAAAGUAAAAAAAAACAGAAAAUUAGGGACACAAACCAAAUAGAUAAAAAAACAGGUCUAGAUAUAUCCAGGGGUUGUUGCUGAUGGGAAAAAUGAAACUGUAACCCUGUCAUUAGUCAGCACUCUCCCGAAGCACAAGAUUGACAAUUGACAAUAAAGUUUUUACUUAAAAAAAUGAUGCAAUUGUACUAAAGCACAGAGAUCGCUAAUGGUCAAGAAUACAGGAGUACAUUUUAAACUUCAAAGAGUAUUUUUGUUCAAUAUUGACAGCGGUGGCCAACUCAACAAAUUUAAAACUCAAUCAUAAAGUUGCUGGAGACACUUACAUUCACUUUUGUAAAGUCAAGUGAAUUAGCUUGAUACUUCAUAAAAACAUCAUUUAAGAGUGCAAGCUUUUUUUCAAAGGACUACUUAGAGCUAUAGCAAGCCCCUGUCUUUUACCAUAAACAGUAACAUGUCUUGACUGAAUUCCUUGAAAAAAUAUCCAAGAUAACUGUGGUCCAAUUUUAUAAAAACAUCAAUCUAGCUGAACAGAAUAGCAUAAAACAAAAAUAAACAACCAGAUACUUCUCAUCUUAUCACUUAUAUCAUGUUAUAUAGCUGCCACCACCGUUUCAAGGCACAAGUCUCAUUUCGCCUCUCUCUUGUGAUUUGCUUGUGGCAAGAAAGAAAGAGAAAAAAAGAUUAAAACUUUUUUGAUAUUCAAAUUAUUAAUUGUUUUCAUAUUUCAGCUGCAGGAUGAAAUAUAGUUUUUUUGGUCUUGACAAUCAGCCAAAAUGACAUCUAUACCAGAAGGCUGGUCCAGUAGAUCAAACCAAUGAUGCCUACAAAAAUUGAUUAUGUUAUAAUAAUUUGGAUAAGAAAGACAACAGCUUCAUCAUAGAUGACCUAGUCCAGAAGAACUGUUUAAAUGUGAAGAAAGAGACAAAUGCCAAACUUUGUUACUUAUAUACUCACUGGCAGAAACUUCGAUGAUUUCUUCAUCACCGCUAAAGUGCUUCCAAGGCAACCUGAGCGCUGAGGUAAGGAAUAAUUAAAAGAAAAUAUACAUGUCAAUCGACAAUGACAAACAAAAUACUUUAGUGCGUUGUUUUCAACCACAUAAAUUCAUGACCAACAAAAGCAUGACAUGCAUAAUUGGAUUAAACCUAGCCGAAUUAUGCUUAAUCUUGUGUAAUGCACAAACAGAUACAAACCUGAGAUAAAAUCCAUCCAACAAGCCAAUCAAUGUCACUUUUGUGGUUGCAAAUGACAAGUGCAUGCUCCUUACCUGUAACAUGUUUUAAGGUUAAUGACAAUGAAUAAUAUUACUACACAACAGAUCAGACCCCCCAAAAAAACAUUUUUAUCUCUGAGAACAUCCUUACUUUCCUAAUAAGAAAAAGAACAAAAAAAGAAAACAAGAUCUUACCCAUCAAUUCAUAAGUUUUAGAAUCUGCAUAUAAUUGGACCUGCAACCAUGAAAAUACAUUAUACAUGUUAAACCUUUAGAUAUAGAUAUAAGCAGCAUAAAUCUCUUGGUUAUAAACAAGUAUAAAAAUUACAUAGCACAACAAAAUUAUCAGUACUAUGUUACAUCAGUACUGUAACUAACAAACCAAGACAAGGUAACGAAAAUCUGCCCUAUCUGAGCUUCUGGACCAAGCUAAAUAGAAGGUCAUCACUUGCAUUAGUUUUCGGAAAUAGUGCAUAACAAGGUAGUCAAGUCAACUGCUUCAGUAAUCAUAACUUGCGCUAAAUUUAACUACUAUAUUUUUUGCCUCAUCAACCCAGCCUAGAUGUGAAAAUUAUAGCUGCUAAUCAGCCUUUAAAGGACCCCAAACUAUGCUGAAAUGCCGUGCUACUCAGCCUUUAUUCUUGCUUCCUCGCUCCUUCUUCCUGUCCACUUCUGUGCCUAUUAUCACUCAAGGUAGAAAGGGACAAUCCUACUAGUCAAGAUAGCAAGAGAGAGUCCCUUGCUUAAGAUGUUGAAGCAAACAUUCAUGGGGAUGACCCUAAUAUACCAAAAAAUGUAAUAAUUCACACACCAAACAAGUCAUGGUACUACCAGAGAUGGUCAUAUCGCAAACAAUAGCCAAAGAUAUCUGAAGAUUUUAAGGAAGUUUACCUUAACACCAGCCCACCAAUCGACAAGCCAGAUGAGCUGGAGCCAUAGUAAUUCAGCCACCACUCUGUUAAUCCUCCUGAAGAGACUUUUCGAGAAAGGUCGUAUUGUGAUGUAAAUUGUCGCCUGCAGGGGCAAAAAUCAAAGGUAGAAAACAAGGACGCUCGCAAAAAAUCUGAAUAUGGAAAAAAAAAUCAAAUCUUUCGAAAAAUUAACAUAGCAAUAAAAAGAAUAGAAGAAGAUUGGAAAAAUAGUGAGAAAAAUACUCAACAGUCCAAAACUACGGGGAAAUAUGCACUUGAAUCAGCCUCUAAUUCAUCUUAUAACCAAAGUACAAGGAAAUCAUAAUGCCAGACCAAACUAAAAGCCCUAACCCCAACUACGAGCCAUAGCUGUUCGAGAAAGAACUCCAUGAAUCCAUCAAAUCCAAACCACCAAACCGCACAAAAGGAAACACAAACCCUCAAACGAUAAUAUCAGGUAUCGAAAGGAAAAGUAGGCCCACCUGAAUGAGGUUCACAAUUAGCCCCGACAGGAGGAACAGAAGGCCGAGGGGCACCACCACCAACGCCGCAGCCAUUGCCAUGGCCGAGAUCCGGCGGAAGAACAACAAUCGUUUCCCCUUUUGUCAGGAACCAACCGAACGAACAAGAACGGGAUAAAACCAGGGAUUAUUUUGGGUUUCUUGCGCUAUCUUCGCUGGGAAUUCUCCCCGCCGACAUCAGGCUCCGACGCAGCCACCUCACGCAGAGAUCGGGGGGCCGUUGGAGAUUUACGAGACGACGAAAGACCAGAAGAGGAGGGGCGAGACUCCGUGUCUCAGCCGAAAGAUACAACACGAGAGUCUCGGAUUUCUAUUGGUCAGAAUUGCGGGUCCCAGGAGAGUCGACCCGUGAUGACGCAAUAAUUAUAUAUCAAUUUCACACAAUUCAACGAAGUGCUAUUAUUUGCUAAUUACAAUAUCAUUGAUAAUGGUUUAUCCAUAUAUAUACAUAUAUAUAUAAUAUUAAAUUACACGCCCUACAUACGUACAUACAUACAUAUAUAUAUAUAUGUAUAUGUAUACAUAUAUAUAUAUAUGUAUAUAUAUAUAUAUAUAUAUACAUAUAUAUAUAUAUAUAUAUAUAACGUUGGAGGGGUAUGUGUGUAAUUUAGAAAAUAAGGGAUCAACAUAAGAGGUCCGAGAGGGCGGUGAAAUAAACCUGGCGAAACCUCAAAUCGUUUCGUCUCCGCUGAAACCGAUGGAUCCAUCGCAGCAGCAACAGUGGGUGCAAUCCCACCACCACCAAGCUUGGGCCGCCGCAGCCCCCCCCACCACUUCUUCCCACGGAUACCACCAGCCGGCCACCCUCGAGGAGGUCCGUAGCCUAUGGAUCGGCGACCUCCAGUACUGGGUCGACGAGAGCUACCUCCACAACUGCUUCGCCCACACCGGGGAGGUAUCGCUCGUCCCCUCCUUCCGUGAUUUGUUUUAGCGUUUAGCCCUGUUCCCUGACUAGCUUUUUUUGGUCUUGAAGUCUCCUUAGGGUUUCCGAAGUGCCGAAUUACGGAUUGCGUGAUGGUUGCUCAGCCUCUAGUUUGCGUAUAUGUUGCCAUUCUUUGUAUUAAAUCUGGGAGUUAAAUCUCUUCCCCUCCUUUCAAGAUUUCCUUGAGGGUUUAGUCCUGACACCAAACGAGUUCCUGGUCUUGAAGUUUACUUAGGGUUUUUGAACUGUGAAAUACGAGAUUAACGCUCAAAUUUUAGGUUACUUAGCCUCUAGUUUGCUUAUAUGUUGCCAUCCUCUGUAUCGUACACGGGGAGGUAACUCUCGACCUCUCCUUUCGUAUUUUUAUUUAGAGAUUAGCCGAGCCCCCUGACAGGUUUUUGGUCUUGAAGUUUACUUAGGGUGUACGAACUGUGAAACACUAGAUUAACACUCAGAAAUUAGGUUACUUAAAUCUCUAGUUUGCUUAUAUGUUGCCAUUCUUUGUACUUGAUUAUUUUCGUCAAGGGACGUUUUUCUUGUGUACUCCAUGCGCUUAUGAUAUGUGGACUUUGUUAAUUUUGAUGCGAAAUGUUUCCACAUGUCCAAGAUUUAAAGCUGCAGUAGUUUUGAGAAACAAUGGUAAUUGUCUUUAUUUGGUUCCACAGGGUAUCCAUGUCAUUGGAUCAAAUGUUGGUCCAUCUCUUUAGCAAAACUUGUCAAUCCUUGUAGAUUCUUCUUCUGUCUAGGUGAAUUGUGACUUUUAGGCUUGCAUAAAGUCCCUCGUUUGCUUAGAUUGGCCUAGCAAUUCACUAUUCAAACCAUCUGCUUUGGAGUUAUGAUGUUAAUUGUCAAUUGAUCGUGAAUGUUUUCCUCCUUCUCGAGACAACCUUCUUUAUUUCAUCUUCAUGCUGCUGUAUUUGAUGGGGGAAACCUUGGAUAACUGGUGUCUGGUUCACUUGGCAUGGGGUUAGGUUACUCCGUUGCACACUUGUAGUUUCUUGUUAGUACCUGUAGGUUUCACUGUUAUCACUUGUUUAUGCUGCUAUUGCCUAUACUCUGUGACUUUAGGAUUCUAUGAAUGAAAUUUUUUACUUAUAAUUGGUGAAAAAUUGUCUACGUAAUUGCAGGUAGUAUCAGUAAAAAUUAUUCGCAACAAGAUUACAGGGCUUCCUGAAGGGUAUGGGUUUAUAGAGUUUGUUUCACAUCCGGCUGCUGAAAGAAUUCUGCAGACAUAUAAUGGAGCUCAAAUGCCUGGCACAGAACAGACUUUUAGGCUGAAUUGGGCCUCCUUUGGAAUUGGAGAAAGGCGCCCUGAUGCUGGACCUGACCAUUCCAUCUUUGUGGGAGAUUUAGCAUCUGAUGUGACAGAUUACUUGUUACAAGAGACAUUUCGUGCCAACUAUCCAUCAGUUAGAGGUGCCAAGGUUGUCACUGAUCCUAAUACAGGACGUUCAAAGGGUUAUGGUUUUGUUAAAUUUGCUGAUGAGAUGGAAAGAAAUCGUGCAAUGACUGAAAUGAAUGGUGUCUAUUGCUCCUCACGGCCCAUGCGAAUAAGUGCAGCCACACCUAAGAAAACUACUGGUCUCCAGCAACAGUAUCCGGCUGCAAAAGGUAAUUUUAUGUGACAUGGAAUAUUUUUUACCAUGCAAAAGCAACACUACAACACAACUCUUGGAAAGAAAAUAAGGAGUAUGCAAAGAAUUCACAACUAGUGGCAACCUGGGUAUAUAGCUGGUUGGUAUGCUUGUUAAAUUUUUAAAUGGAUGUCACUUUGUUGUGUAUGUUUUUGCUGAUUAUGUCGGUGUUUUUGUUGACUUUUCCUUCUAAUCUUGAUCUGCUAUCUUGGCCUUUCAAUCUUUUAUGUUAUGCUUAUACCGACAAGGCCAACCAGUUUUUAUGUAUACAUGUGUUUUUGGCAGCUUUAUAUCCAGCUACGACAUAUACAGUGGCACAGCUGCCACCUGUUCCACCAGACAAUGAUAUCACAAACACAACUGUAUGUAAUUUGUAUCAUCUUCAGAAUUUAUUCAUCUUCUAUACUGGAACAGUCUUUAACUUUUCUGUUUCUGUCACAGAUAUUUGUUGGUUGUUUGGACCCUAACGUCACAGAAGAGGAACUGAAACAAAUAUGUUCUCAGUUUGGUGAUAUUAUAUAUGUGAAGAUUCCAGCUGGUAAAGGAUGUGGCUUUGUGCAGUUUGUAGCUAGGUAGGCUGGAAACUUGUGAAGCAUCAUGUUGUCUUUACUGCAUUAAUUUUAACAAGAUGAUCAUCUAUCUAUUUGUUAUCGCACUAAUCUAAAUAAGUUGACCAUCGACAUUAUUUAUGUGGUAGCUUCAUUAGGUUCGAGUAUCAUAUAAUUUGGAACAUUCUUAAAAAGGGCAUUACAAUCUUAUAUCUAACUAUGACCUGAACAUUCAGAUUAUUGAAUUUUUAAAUAUUUUGGUAAGAAAAUUUACUUACUAUUAAUUGUACAAUUCUACUUGCAAUAAAGUCCCAGGAAACACAUUAGUGUCAUACUCGUGCUCAUGGUUCCUAGGUCAAGAGGUUUUAAUAUAGCUGGUACUAUUUGGGCCAAGGCCGUAUUGGUCAGUUUCAAUAAGUUUUUAGUAUAACUGGAACUUUUUGGCCACAGCUGGUACUCAUGGACUUUUUUAUAAAUAUCUUCAAAUAAUAUCAAGUCGAAACAUUUUGAAUAUUCCAAAUGGCGUAUUGUAAAUGAAAACCACACCAUCUUAGAAUACAUUUAUGUAUUGAGCAUGAAAUUGGAUGUAUGUAUUUCUUAUGAACUUUUAAAGCUUUUGUGAACAUAUUUAUGAAUGAUUAAGAGUAAUAGACUUGGUGCCAAGGUAAACCCACUAUGAUAUGGAUGACCUGGUUUUGAGUGAUUAAAGCAGUUAUCCGCUUCAUGGAUCACUUUGCUUGAAUUGGCCGUUGCUGCAACCUGAAUUGAUAGGAACCUUGUGCACUAGCGGCCUCUUUUUAUCUUGGUAACUUGGAAAACUAUCAAAAGGAUUGAGUCAAAAUACGAAGAAAAUUUAGUAUUUUGAACCUUGGUUGUGACCUUAGAGAAUUAUACCUAGUCUCUUGACAACAUACUUGAACUAAUUUGUUUCUUGCUCUACUUCCUAUUUUAUGAUUAUAGCAGUGUUACAUGGACAUUCACAUCCACCUCUACAUAUUGUAUUGAUUAUAGUAUGGUGUUAAAUUAUUUGAUAUUUCUAACACCGCCGAUGAAUAUACUUUAUGAACUUAUUUUCUCUAAUGCUUCCCAUGACAUUAUAUAUCCUAAUCUGAGUCACUUGUCUGUAUCUCAUCAUAUAAUGUCAUCUCAGUUGGUAAUGAAUUCAUAAAUUCUCUAAUGAAUCUUAAUCAUUUCACAAAUAAAAUAAAAAAUUAUUCCAUUGUUUUGUUUUAUAGGGCAUCUGCUGAGGAAGCAAUACAGAAGCUUCAUGGAUCCAUGAUUGGUCAGCAAAUCGUCAGGCUUUCAUGGGGUAGAAGUCCAGCAAGUAAGCAGGUAAAUCAUGUGGUUAUUGCUACCGACUUACGUUCCCUUUUUGUUGAGGAUAAGUGUGAUUGAACUUUUUUUUUUUGUUUUCAAAAGUUGUCAUUUAUCCUGGUCAUAAGUCAGUGAUCCCUAACUUAAGAAAUAUAGGUCUUUAGUCUAUAGUACUUGUAUAAACAACUUUACUCUAAUUCUUGUUUCAUUUUCUUGGGAAAUUGAAUGAAGCAUGCAUGAUAAUUUCAUUUGGCAGUUUGUUACUAGAUUAUCCACAAGUGUGAUUGCUUUUGUUGCAGCAUUAACAAUCAUGGUAUGCAUUGACAUCUAAAAUUUCUUAACAGGCACAUAUCUUUUAAUUUAAGGAGUGUUUUGUAAUUGACAUCAAGCUUUUUACAGAGGCAUAUUACAUCAGUGUAUGCUAGUAUUUGUCAAGGUGCUGACGAAAGAUGGCUACAAAUUCUUUAUUUUCUAGAUAAGCAUGAUAGCAUAUUUGAUGUGUAGUGAGACCUUCUCUGACAUCCUUAUGCUUUCAGUGGUUUUGAUGCCCAACAGCCAUGAGGUUGUCAGUUGGAUGUCAUAAACUAUUAAUUUCAGCCCUUAGUAUUUUGUUACUCAGCUGAUUGGCAAGGCUUAUGGUCUUCACUCCAGCUCUUUGUCUAUGGCUUCUAAUCCUCAAUAUCUUGUAAUGAAUUGAUUGACAUAACUCAUUAAUCUCAUUUGGGCUUGCACCAAACAAUGUGAGGUUGGCAACUGUGACCAUUACUUUAAGAUGAGAAGGCGACAGUAGAAAGUUGAUCAGAACUUUGCAUUUGUAAGUCAAUCUCUAUGUUAGCUUCAUAAGAGCUAAUUCCAGUUCCCUAAUUGAAAAAAUGAAAGAAACUAAAGACUUGAUAUUUUUUGGUCUAGUUUGCUGUUGUUUAAGUUGAUGAAACAUGAAGGAAACUCUCAAUUUCUGAUUUGAAAGCAUCUAAACACGGGGGAUACUGUAAUUUAUAAUGUGAUAUUCAAAUACUUAGUUAUCCAAGUCUUUUGAGGCAACUAUAUAUCAAUCAGUAUGACCAGUCAACUAAGGAAACAAUGCUCACAUCUAGAAAGGAGAGAGUUGUUAAUAGUUGAUGUGACUGCCAUGGCAGAUUGAUGUUUCUUUAGGUUUACAUCAAUCUCACAUCAGUGCUAAGGAAACAAUGCUCACAUCAGUAUGGCAAGUGCUGUAAGAUCCAUCACAAUAAGUUAAAAUGGAAAUAUUGGAAUAUUUUUCAUUUUCAUGAUUUUAAUUUCCUUAGGUCAUCAUCUUGUAGCAUCAUGCCAAAUUAUCUAAUAUUUUUCUUCCUUUUUUCUUGACAAAAUAAAAUUGCAUGUCCACCUUUUGAUAUGUUUAUUUUUCAGAGGCAAGUGUCAAAUCAUGUGUCCUUAUGUUCUUCUAUCCAAUCAUUUUGCAGGACCCGACCAUGGCAUGGAGUCAGCAAGCGGAUCCUAAUCAAUGGGCAGGUGCUUAUUAUGGUUAUGGUUAUGAUGCAUAUGCAUACGGAGCGUCUCAAGACCCGUCCUUGUAUGCAUAUGGAGCUUAUGCUGGAUAUGGUCAAUACCCUCAACAGGCAAGAUUAACCACCUUCUAUGUUCUCUUCCACUAUCUUACUUGCACAUAUACUUAUUAGUUCCAACUGCAUGGUUGGAUUCUCUUAUGGAUGUAGUUUUUCGAUAAAUUGGUUAUCUGUUAUCUCGUCAGUUUUACUGAAGUGAUAUUAGAAGAUAUUUAAUAUGCUUUUUUGGAACAUAUCAUUGUUAAUAACUCAUUCAUCUAAGUUCAGUAUCUUCUGAUUCUUAAGAUAGGAUUAAUAUUUUUAUAAUAAAUUAUUUGUUACAGUAAGUUGAUGGAUCCAUAUGCAACUUGAACAAAUUGAUAGCUCUCUCUUUCUAUCCCUCUCUCUCUCUAUUCCUUUCCAUGUCUCCCUUUUUGAUGUUAUUUAGCCGUUUGACCAUGGACCAAUAAUAGACCAUAUGGAUUAGGUAUUGGUCGGUAUUUGAUUGUUUAUCAUUUUUUUCAUAUAGGUCAGUAUACUACCCUGGUAUAACGGUACCAUGUCAAUCCAUCCGCUUUCCGAAACUGCGAUCGACCAAUAUUCAAAACCUACACAUGCCAUGAUCCUUUGUUUCAUCGUACAUGAACAAUAAUAAUAUGUCCCAUGGUACUCGAUUUUGAUGUGGUGAGGAAGUGGGUCCGACCUUUGGAAGGGCAAGGAAUAAGAGGUCUGCUGCUGCUGUGCUGCCUGUUUGGGUAUUGAUAAGAGAACAGGUAAAUGCAGGAUUAGGCACAUCAUCAUCCCAAAAGUAAUUCAACUUCAAUCCAGUAUUGUAUGUGCGGGCACGUAAUUUGCCCAAAAGAGACUCGUCGUGACUUAAAAAAGCUCUUUUAGUGGUUUUUAUCUAUCUUUUUGUGUUGUUCGUACAUCAAAAGCACGUCAUAUAAUAAUGCUUAUUCGCUUGUAUUUCUGGAUCGUGUAGCCUUCACUGCUUAACAUUUGUCUACGGUGUUGUUUCUUCCAGGUCGAAUCUGUACCUGAAAUGACACAUAUGGUUGGUGCAGUUCCAAGCAUGGAGCAGAGGGAGGAGAACUACGAUCCCUUGGCCAUACCUGACGUUGACAAGUCAGUAGUUUUUCUUUAUAAAAUUUCUAUGGCUUGGGUUACUGACUUUUUAUUAUUAUUAUUUAUUUUGAACUUCCCCACACGAUACCUGAUAGUGUUUUUUCGAUUAACUCUAGGUUGAACGCUCAAUACCUCGCAGUUCAUGGAAACGCCAUGCUGGGGAGGCAUUUGUGGUUGAAGACCUCCCUGUCUUAAGCAGAUAUUUUCUGUGUCUCUGUUGAACAGCGAGAGUUAAUUUAUGGAUCUGCUUAAAAGAGCAAAGCAAGCAUGGAGAAUGAGCACAAAGUGUGGCGCAUGAUGGUAAUCUCAUGCAGGUUCUUCUCAUCCGUACCAAGUUUCUUCUAGCUCACAUACAGACGAAGAAAUAUGUCCGAAUUGGUUGAAUGAAUUGUGCUGCUGAGUACCAUAAUGGCCUGGCCUGGCCUGUAUCUCGAAUCCUUUCUUUCCCUAUCGAAUGCUAUGCUGUGAUAUCGCAAACUUUGGUUCAACAUCUACAUGGCUUUAAGUGGCAAUUUUCAGCCCGUUGGUCAAGUUUAUUUUGCUUUUGUAUGCACACACUCUUCACUCUCUUGAGGAACAUCAUCAUAAUUUCUUAUGCUUUUGGGAUAUGCCGUCUGAGUCUGAUGAGGUCUUUAAACCUGGUUUAAUUUAUAAUAAUUUCUUAUCCCUUCGAUUAAUCUAUAAUGACUACAACAACGGUAAAGGUGAUUUAAUUUCAACCGUCUGUUCUUAUCCUGGUAUUCAUCAGACUUUGUGCCUUUCAUGCUUGUAACUACCAAAACUUCAUCUUGGGGAUUUCAGAAAACUCUCCCUUUGCAACAUUAUGACAUUUGCCAUAAGAAAGUUUUUAAUAAUUACAAUCGUAUUUUGAUACUUAUAUCAACUAUUUACUUGGGACUUUCAGCGAGAAGGCCUGUGGGAAUUAAACCAACAGCUUUGGUUCGAUUCCGAAUUGAUCAAAAAUAAUAAUAAAAACCAAUUUUCUCUUAUGAGCCAUAAACUUACUCUUCCAACAAUUAAAUAAACAACUAAUUUAAGAAUAUUUUUUUUAAAAAAAAACAAUUCUGAUUCAAAACGAAACUGAGAUCGCUUGUAAAUGCCAGUUCCAAAUUCUGCACAACAGAUUCUAGUAACGGGUCAGGCGGACCUGAGAAGGUGGCAAAUACCAUCGCAGCGUAGAGAUAUACAUGAAGUGGAGACUAGAAAUCUUCAAGUUACUAAUAAUAACACACCUUAAAGCAUUAAUGGUUCAAAUAAUCUGGAAAAUAUUUUGCCUACAACCAAAUUUAGACUUUAGAUGUCAAAUUCUGAUUGUUUACCUCAGCAUUGGAAAAUUUGGGUAAGCCUUAUGUUGAUAUUGAUUAGCAGCACGAAACCCAAUAACAGGUGAUCCACAUUUCGUAUAAAUGAUUUCUUCAAAACCAAGGUGGGGCCGAGGGAACAUAUUCCACCUUUCAGAACGGGGCAUUUGAUUCUGCAAUAUGCAUUUCUUGGGAUGCAUGGAAAUUAGAACGAGUUUUUCAAACAGCUCUUAGAUUUCCCUCAUCCAUGUAACCAAGUCAUAGCAGCGUCGUCAAGUGUCUACCUCCAUCCAGCAUCUUCCACAUCAGCACAACCUGCAAGACAAAGGGGAUAUAAGCAAUGCAGAUCAUCUUAUCACUCGAUGAUUACAAAAUUAAUGAAACCAAUAGAUGAAAGGUUAAUUGCCAGACAGAGAAAGAGAGAGAAAGAGAGCAAACAAAAAAAAAAAACAGAACAAUUGCAUUAAUGGCUAACCCAGCAAGGAUUUAACUACAGUAUACAAUCACCAAUGGAUGAAACAAAUGCCGCUAGUCUAAACUACCAGAAGUUAAUACUACUGCUGGAGCCUUACUCCCUGAGGUUCCAAAUCCUGUUUUUGUUGAUUUCAGACCAAUAAGCAAAAUUUAAUGCUCAAUACUAGCAACAUCAAAAUAUCCAUCUUCUGCAUCACCAAAUGGUUGGUUUUUUUUUUAUGUUUGAUCCCUCUUCACAAGUAUACAUUAAAUAUACUUCACAACCAACAUCAGAAGGUACUACAAGAAAGUAUCACUAUAUGUUGAGAAAUAAAGCAUUCAGGACUUGUGUUCUGCAAAAGUUAAAUUCUAAGAUCGUAACGUAAAAUUUUAAAAUCAAUAUAGCUUACAUUUAAUAAAAAGAAGAGCCCAGACUUUUGGGAAUGAAUAGUGGAACCGAGUAGCACCUCAUCUUCUUUCCAGAGUAAUAAUUUAUAAAUACUUCGACAACCAAGGAAGUUCUGAGCAAUCUUUCAAGGCAAAAGCGACAUCAUCACUGCCAUAAAAAAAAAAUAGAACAAGUAUUAUAUCAGUUUUUAAAUGUAUCAAGCCGCUUGGUGCUCUUAACCAAAUAACUCUACUACAUUUCCCAAAAGAAUGAUGCUGAAGAAAGUAGCAAGUGUAAUUUUUUUUUAUACAAAUUAAUAUAAGUCUCUGAAGCUCUAUGCUUGACCCUGGGUCAAAUCAAAGAUAAUAAGGCAGAAGGAAAUGAGAAUAUAGCUGAUAGUCUACUAUCCAAAGGUCAUAGCUGGUUGUUUCAAGGGGUAUUGGUGUCAUUACAGAAUUGUUAAAUGAUAGACGUUGGAAACUUCCCAUGAUGCACACUAAUUUCGGAAGUCCAAAACUUUAUAUACGAAGAUCAAGUGGCAGCAGUAAAACAUUUUCACGUGUAUGUACAACCAAACUAAAAUCAAUAAACAGACAAAACCUUGAGUACCAAAUUUAUGACAAUUACAUCAAUGAUUUAUAAAGUGCUUAUAACAAAGAUAUUACUGUCCUAGUUGUAUUAAAAAGAUCAUAUAAUUCUUUCUUAUAAGUUACAUUUACCGGACAUAAAACAAGCGUUGUACCGUUUACAGUCUCCUAUAAAUUUCAAGGGCAUCAGCAUCAUCUUCAUCACCAUCUUCAUCAAAUAUGUUAACUAAACGAAGACAAAAAAAUGGUAGUAGGAAAGAACAUGGAAAUGGAGGUUUAAAUAGCUGGUUUUGGAUCCGAAAUUGAUCGAUCCAAUCAGCUCCAACAUAAGAGAGCACGAAAUUUAUAAUCAGAUGAUCAUGUAGGCAUUAAAUACCAUUGAAAAACUUGAUGCUCAUCACUGUUAUUACCCUCUAUUAGUAUCCUUAGGAGUUCUUAUGUAAGAUCAUCUAAUAUUUCAAGAACUGUGUGCUUCACAAGAUAAAAAUCUGACAAUGGCAUUGUAGGAAUACUGGCAGGUGAAUUACAUGCUAGGUUUAAUUUUGCAUAAAUUCUAAAACUGUCAAUUGAGCUAACAUGCCCAAUCUUAUGAUGCCAUAAGCAAUCUUGCAGUCAACCAAUUUUCAUCCAAAAUUGCAUACAAUUUUCGCUGUAUAGAACAGACAAAGCCAUCUUCGUAGCCAGCAAGAUGACUUGCAACUUCUGUAUCAAUAUUUGGUCCAACAAGGUGAAGGAAGCUUAACUAUAAAAAAAUGAGGGUAACAUGUAGGCCAAAGACCAGCCUCCCUCAAAACUCAUUCAAUGUUCUGCAAAACAAUAUCUACAUAAUUUUAUCCUAAAAACAAACCAAAAUUUCCAAGCAACAGAAGCUAACCUUGGGAAGUUGAGCUGCAAUUUUUGCAACCUAUGCUUUGUGCCUUCCUCACAAAGUAUUAUUCUACUCUCACCAAGCUUGCAACUGCAAUAAGAUCCAGCAGAACUUGGAAUAUUAACUUUCUAGAUAAAUGAGCAGGUCCACAAAGCAAUAUGAACAAGUACCUGAUAUAGCUAGCAUAACCAUAAUACAACAACUGAAAUUAUUAGCGAUCUUCACAUCAUAGUUCCACAUUUUGUCUUCUAAUGUUCCAGAUCAGAAAAGCUUAUAUAAGCGGCCUAGCACUUGGCAUUAUUUUGCACAACUCUCUUUUCAAUGAAUGACUCAAAUAAUCAUAACUUGUAUGAGAAUCAGAUGUUAACUUAAACAGGUGCGAAAUGACAGAUAUGCAGUUCUAAAAGUGAAGAUUCAAAUAUUAACUUCUAAUAUUUUCCUACAGAAAUAAGCAGCACUUUCAUUGACAGUAUCUUUUGUAGAAUUAGCAGUCUGUUGUGGCAUGUGUUAUGUUUUCUCUAUCAUUUUCCACUUUCAAUGUUUCAAUACAAUCUUUCUGCACUAAUAGCAUGCAAAUUAUUUGGGCAAAGAUUAGGAAGCUAGCUACAUAUGCAAAAUUUUGAUUAAUCCUUACCCAACUUUCAGGAGUGUAUCCCAUCCAGGUGAUGCUUCCUUAUUGCUCGUGCACAAAGAGGCAACAGUGGUAGCCAACUGCAGCAAGGAGAUACUGUAUAAGGCUAAAGCAUAAACUGCAAGCAGAAAGAAUAGCUCAAGGCAAGUACUUAACGGUAUAAUACACAUUAGAAAGCAAAAAAAAGGAAUAUAAAGCAGAAGAUGCACGAUCUGCUUCUCUAUUAUAAGAUGAACUGCAAUUGGAUUCUAAACAUGCUUUUACAAAAGAUGGUGCACUAAAUGAAAACAUCGGAUAAAACACCUUGUGCUUGCAAACUACUGAAAGCAGUCGACUUGCUAGAUAUUAAGUUAUUAACUAGUGCUGCACAUGUGAAAAACAUACAUCUUGUUCAUCGCUCAUCGGUAUUAGCAGACCACACUGUUUAUCAAGAAGAUAUAAAGUUCUAAUACAAAUAAAGAUAUAGAAUAAAAAGUCAAAAAAUAAAUAAAUUUUCAAUGCAAUGAUCUCAUCAAUAACUAGAUCCACAAAAUUAAACCUUAUAAAAGCACCAAUAAAAAAGAGCAAACAGGAGUAAAAAUGAAUGGAAUAAUGUGCAUCUUCGUCAUAGAUCACACUCUACAUAUGAUCUGUGGAAGGUUAGUUCAAUUUAAUAGAAUAUCCAGAACUGCUACAUCAUUCACUAUCACAGGGUAACCAUGAAUAUAUCAACCGAUUUUCAUACAGAAAGACAACAUUAUUAAAAAACCAUUCACAUGAAAGAAUAAUUCAAAAAUAUUCGCUGCCACAGGGUAAACAUGGAUAUAUAACUAGUACUCUUGAGAUGUUAAGAUCAUGUUAAUUAAAAUAUAGAGGUUAUUUCAUCUUAACACAAAACAAACGGAAAAAGACAGACCUUUUCAAAGUUUGUUUCACCCAAUCCACUUCUAUAAAGUUCAUAGACCAUAGCCACCAAGAAAAUUUUGCCGAGUCUUGAAGCAGUUUUCAUUAUCUGUGAGGCGGAUAAAUAUCAGAUUUAAAAUGGUAUCAUGACUUACAGCAAUAAACUAUUUGAAUCCUGAAUAUUAUUCUUGGGCACAUUCAUGUCAAGUCAAAUUAAUAUCCACCCAUUACCAUUUAAAACCAUAGCUGUGACUAAGAGGAAAAUAUAUGUUCAAUCAUUGAAAUUUUUUACUUACUUGAAUAUGUGGUGCCUGAAACAAUUCAUGUAUGGCAGCCUCUAUAUCAGCCAUACCAACAAGCCGUUUUCCUGAAUGUAAACCCAAUGAAGCUCAAACUAAGAUAUAUGUGAAUGAUAAAUGUCUGAGAUUUUGAAAAUUGAAGUGUUAACAAAAAAACAACAAAACAUUUAAGUAUCCAAGUGGUUUCAACCAGACAAUAGACACACUAAAUAUAACCAUGUUUUGAAAAUUACAUACAAUAAAGCACUAAUUAGAUACUGACGUACGAAUUUUUUAAGAUGAGAUACUUCUUUAUUUUUUAUUUGCAGAAAAUUCAAUGCCUACUUCUCUAAGUACCUUCAAAAGAACCAUCAACAGAUUCUGAUGGCUGUUUGCACAACGGUGAUUGCUUGAAUUGAUAAUCUGCUAUUUCAGCUGCCCGCCUACAUAUCUCCAGUGCCCGUCUAGCAUCGCCUGACAUAGCUGCAACCUGAUUGUAUACGAAAUGUUAUGCAUCACAUAUAACAAAAGUGUGAAUAUUAAGCAACUGCAGAACUUAACUUGGAUGCAUUGAUAUCACUAGAUGCAUUAUUUUAGUCUAAAGCACUCACACAUUAAUGAAUAACACAUUCUUUACCUCAUUGUCAUUUGAUGCUUCGGCUUGCGUUCAUGACAUACAAAUGAAUGUAUCUCGAUGAAGUAAAAAUUAGGACUUACCCCUUUUAGGCUUAUUACUCCCAAAUCUAGAGAAAUGUUAAAGGUUAUAUGAUGGACUGGAAAAGCAUAAACAACAUCCAUCAUGAUAGCUUAGCAACUACAUAAUCUAUAAUGAAAUCGAAUAAGAUCUAUGCUUAUGAGAUCUGACAGAAGUUAUAGGUAGCGGUUGGCAUCCUAACCCAACCAUCAAGCUCCAGUGUUUUCUUACCGUCAGCCCAAACAUGGAAGGAUCAAGAUUAUUCUAGGUCAUAACAGAUGAUGUAAAGUUAGUAAGGUCGCAUAAGCAUGGAUCUUAAUCUUCCACAAAGUCACAUCAUGCUUUAUUUUUGUUCUUAAUUAGCUAAUACAUGAAUGGAAUGCAUUGUUCUAUAGUAUAAAAUGCAGCAAUCAAUGUACUGAUCAGUGUCCACAUAAUGAGUGUGCUCAAAAUUCCAUACUUCCAAUACUCUGGUUAUUGUUGAGUGCAUGCAUACUGGCAAAAAAGGAAUGUGCCUAGAAAAUGGUUGCUUGGUACAUCAAAGAACCCCAUGUCAACACCAUGCCGUCAGACAUGUGACUACUAGCAUCAGUCGUGAACCCAUAAAUCCAAGCAUUGAUUUUUAAGUAAAUUUCUGACUAAUAAGACCUCCAAAUGGUGUAUGAUGGUCAUGAGAUUACCUUCCUGGAAGCAAACUCAACAGCUUGUUCCUCAAAUGCAUCAAGGCCUUUAAGACGGCUAGAAAUGAUUUCUUGUAAUUGUUGAUAACUAUAAGGCCCAAAACAUAGCCGCUGAAUCCCCAUUCUGCUUGAAAUGCGUGGCAAUAACUUUUCAGGAAGAUCCAUAGUGUUUGCUAUUCCUGAAUAUAAUUUAUCAAAAGAAAAUAUGCAUUCAUAAAAUUAAUUGAGAUGAAAAUCAAAUAAAAGCAAAGAAAGAAGAAUGACCAUUUGAUACCUAUCACAACGAGCUUUGAUUGUGGUUUAGUAGGCCAAUCAAGAAUGUUAUACAAAACCUGUGUAAAAGAUAUAAUUUAAAGUUUUAAUACACUAUCUAUGAACCAAAUUAACUCAAAAAGAAUACUAAAAGGCUUCUUCUUCAUCCAAUAUCAAUCUUUGUGAUGUUAAGAAGAAAUAGAUACAUCAAUAGCAAGAGUUACCGAUUGGUUUCUAGUCAAAAGAAGAUCAAGCUCAUCUAUAAGCAAAACACAAGGUCGAAGCUCAUUGUUGCUGACUCCACCACCCUUGGAAAAACGUUCAUUCAAAAGAUGAAGAGCAGUUUUCCAUCCAACCCUGUAACCACUUAGUGCUUCAUAGAUUACCUGAACUUAACGGGCAUGUUUAGUUUAAUGAUCAAGAUCGUACAAUAAGAUCAAAUGGCUAGAAGAAAAGCUAAACCAUACUUUGUAAAUAUUCUCUGGAGAAGCUAGUUUCAGACCAUUAAUAUCUACAAAGGUAUAGGGCCUCACAGUUCGUGCAUCGACCUCCGACCUCAGAUUUCUCAUUGCCGCAAGUACAGACAUAGUCUGCAGUUUGAUGCAUGUCAAGUGUCAAAAAACAAUUGGACCAUCUACUUUUAGCAAACUAAACAAAAUUAACAGAAUGCGAAAGCCAUUAAGUCAAACUGCCUACCUUGCCAGUUCCUGGAACACCAUGAAUAUAAAGGCAGCGUCCUGAACAAUGAUCAUCAGAAAUAGCACCUCUGAUGAAUGCAGUUAUCUCUUCCAUUUCUCUGAUACAUAAACUCCAAGUUAUAAUUAGCCUAAAAAUGGCGUUAAAACAAGUGCAAAUUAAUCAGGUCAUGAUUACUUAGUCCUGCAAGGAAGUGAUUUGGGCAAAGUUGCUAGAAGCAACAUGGCUUUGGCCUUCUCCAAAUCAGUCUGCUUAGAGCAUCGUGCAUGUUCAGGAAUUCUUUUUAUACCAAUCUUUUGAAGACCAAAUGUCCUUCCCUUGCGUAUGUUCUGAAAGAUAAAUAUAGAGUAAAUCAUCUGAAUAGUAUCCCGAAACAGUUAGGGUAAAUUUGAAAAAAAACAUACGGCUGCUGACUCAUGUCUCCUCUGAGCAGAAUGGUUCACCCUAGCAAGUUCUUCACACUCCGAAUCUUCAUCUGUAUCAGGAUCCUUGGAAAUUUUCCAAUCUUCAUCACUUUCAACUCCUUUGUCAUUCUAACAUGAGAUAAAUAAAAGAAGCUCAAGCUUCGUACAUGCUAAUAACAGUCAAGUUUUCUCCAGAAUGUCUACUUUAUUCCAAGAUCAAGCAUACCUCAAUGGCAUCAUCAAUAUCUGUUAGACGCUUGAAGUUGUGCCAGUGAAUGUCAUACUCAUAUUCACAAUAAAAUACAUCAUCUCCCUCAUUGCUGGCUUCUUUAUAGUUGUUUGGACUCAUAACAUAGCAAUGCCGAAGGACAGACUCGAUCUGCAGACAACCAGAGUUUCAGGUCCUUAGAACAAACAAAUAGUAAUUAAUCCAUGUCAUAAGAAGAUUUAUCAUCCAAAAUACAUAUUGAAAAGAAAACAUGAUUGUUUAAAAAAUGAUAAAAUAUUAUAAAAGUUAACAUGGUGGAAUUUUUGGGGCUCAAGUGCAGAACAACUAGUGAUUUGACUAGGAUCAAGUAUAUUGAGUCCAGGUAGCAUCUCCAACUUUGUAGGACGCCAAUAUUCUUCUUGUUCUACAUUGCAAAAUUGGGCUUGAUUUGAUCGUAAUUUACUUUUGAUACUGGCAUUCAAUCACUCAUAAAUUUUGGUUUAUUAACUGGAUAUGACAUUCCACCAGAUCAUUUUGCCCCCUAGUCAAAAUCCACUAGAAAUUGAGUUGCUUUCUAAGCCAAAAAAUCAUUCUAAUAUGGCAGAAGGAAUCGAUAGAUUUAAUUAAGUAUGAUUGUUUGGGGUGGUCCUUAGAAAUCUUGUUGCAAUUCAGAAUAGAUAAGAGAUUGUGAGUCAUUUUUAGUUUGUCAAUGGAUUUCCAUUUUGGGUUAUUGAAAAAUCUCUUUUCUAGCUAGCGCUAUGUGUAUGUAUUCAUUUUAGAUUUCGUCAGGAAUAUAGAGAUGGACCCAACUGAAGGAAGCAGCAAUAGCAUUAACCAGGCAAGAUAUCAAAAGAAAGAAAGGGCAGAGGAGUAGCAUUUUAUACCUCAAUAUCACCUAAAUCAUUUGUACGGUAUAGUUCCCUCCGCAGGUUAUGUGGCUGCCUCCCAACUGCAGUCUCUUCAGGAAUUAUGUACCACCGACAUUUUAGCCAAUAGGUACCAUCUGGUUCUCUCCACAAGCUGCUCAAAUCUCACAAAAAACAGAAUGCUAUCACUUAAUUUGACAAGCACUAAAUAGCAGUUUAAACACAAGAUGGACCUUAGAAGAUAAUGCUCAAGGCAUCAAUGGUAACUUUAGAACCAACAACGAAACACAUAUGUAGUCCCCUGGUAUCAGGCACUACCUCUCGAUUCGAGCAGCCCACAAAUCACUAGAAAGAAGCUUCUCCUUGGCAGUCCUCCUCAUUUUCCUCCCCUCGGGAGGUUUCGGCAGCUCCACGUCUAUACCCAUCUUCCGCGCCUGGCAGAACCCACAGAUCCAGUCCCCCUCCGGGAUCUUCCUUAGCGGCGGUUCCAAGCACACGAGAUGGAACCCCCCCAAGCAAUCAUCGCACUCGAUCAUCACUCUCCUGCCUGUCCGGAAGCAAAUCCGGCACUCCUCCACUUCCGGGUCGUCAUCGGCGGACUCCGGCGCCUCCUUCCUCUUCACGUACACGUCGUCCCCCACCUCAAACUCUCCGCCGUCGUACACCACCUUCUUGUAGUACACCCGCCCGUUCGAAGCUCUGGAGGGCUGGGAUCGUCUCCUCCUCUUCGAUUCCGGGGUGACAGGGGAGAAAGCGGAGGGCGGCUCGGUAAGCGGCGCCUCGUCGAUCUGCAGCGACCGCUUGGCCUUGCGGGCAGAUCUGGGUAUGUCGAGGCGGCCUGCAGCCGGGCCGGGGGUGAGAGGUGAUGCGAGGCCGGAAGCGGAGCGGUGCAGGCGGAGGGAGCGGCGCGGGGUGGCGGAUUCCGGCGUCGGAGGGACGAGCGGCGAGGGUUUGGGCCUCAAGGGAGUAGAUCUGGGCUUAGGUUUUCGUGGGGUGGCGUCCAUUGCCGCCGUCGUCGAUGAGAUCGCGAGGGAGAGUGAGAGUGCGGGCCUUUUAGGGCUUUGUUUUGGCGGUCAGAUGUGAGAGGAGAAGAGGUUUCAAAACACCGUGAAAGAGAGAAACGGUUUCCCAGGUAGCCGUUUCCCGUGAUGGUUUCUGCGAUGGAGUCGUUUCGGGAGGAUGGAAAAUGAAAAGGUUCGCCAAACGUGGAAAUAACAUAUUACCUUUCCAAAUAAUGUUAGGAUCAUUCACGUAUACACACCUCAUUAACAUCUAACCAAAUUUAAUUAUAUAAAUACUUUAAAUUUUUAAUAUUAUUACUAUCAUAAUAUUUUUAUCAACUCCGAAUCCGUUCUUAGAAUGCUUACACUUGAGAAAGAAAAAGUUCUUUGAAUGCGAACCAUAGGUCAUAAAUUAAAGUCUUCGUUCCUAAAAAAAAGAUUAUACAUGAAAUAUAUUCGGUAUCUCUUAACGCUCAUAUUUCAUUUGAGUCCUCAUUCAUGCAAAGGAUUACGCGUGAAAUACAUUCAACGAUAUCUUUUAUGAUAAUUUAAUUUACUUAAUAAAAAAUACUUAUAAAGAGCUAUAAUUUAGUUUAGUUAGUUCAAUACGAAAAUAUUGAUGUUGGCUUUAUAUCCAUAAUUAGUUGAUAUCAUGUUAAUAUGGUAUGUCAAGAUGACACUUGAGCAUCUCUAGGAUACAUUGGCAAACACACUUCAUUAUAUAUAUGUUAUUGGUUACACAUGUGAAAUGUCUACUGCGAUCAAAUUAGAUAUUAAAUUUUAAUUAUAAUUGAUCAAAACUAACUAUAUACAUCAGUUCAACUUAAAUCUAGAUUGGUAAAUAUGUAUUAUUUUCUAAAAUAAAUUAAAAGGGAUAUAUAAGUGUGUGUGUGCAAAACCAUAUACAUCAUCAGUUCAACUCAAAUACAGAGAGGUAAAUAUGAUUUUUUUUAAGUUAAAGAUAUAUAUGUAUAUAUAUGUAUAUAUAUAUAUAUGUGUGUGUGUAAUAUUGAAAAAAGGAAAUUUCUUUCAUCAUGGUUGUGUAAGAUUAAGAAUACAUUUAAUUUGGUUGUCAUCCAGAAGAGUUUAUGAACAUCAGUUCAACUCAAAUACAGAGGUAAAUAUGAAGUUUUGACAGUCAGAAGCUUUGAUGAGUUGAUGAUUGGGGAAGUAAAGGCCUUGAUGAACUCCAACCAUGAAUGACCACACCUUUCUUACCAUGCUUUGACCCACCAUUGAACAUUGAUGCAAUCUAAAAGCUUAACUUGCUAAGUUCCAAGUUUGAUUUAACUAAACUCUUUUUUUCUUUAUCUUUUAUGUAAUUUUGAUGCAGCUGCUACCUCAUCAUCUUCAUCUUCUUCCUCCUCUUCUCUUUCUGUUUCUUUUGCAGCUGCUUCCCCAUCACCUUCUUCUUCUUCUUCUUCUGCUACUCUUUCUGUUUCUUUUACAGCAGUUGUUCUUUUUGUUGUAGUAACUGCUUCCUUCCUGCCAUCACCAUCUCCUACUUGUCCUCCUCCUUUCUUCUUGGCUGUGGCUGUAGCUUCUUUUGCUGCCUCCUCCUUGGUUGAAACUGGAGGAGUAGGCUGUUGUAGGUUUCCAUGAACUCAAACAGUGGUGUGCAUGUUAAACCAGAGGUUGUAACCAAAAGCAUGCAAAAGUUUCCUAAUCACACUUGAGUACUGUCCCAGUUGAAAAGCAAGAACUUAGCAAGGAUGUAUAGACUUUUUGAUCACACAUGAGUCUAAUAUUGCAUGCAUGAAUGCAUGCUAAGUAAGCCAUUCAUGAUCACUGGUGAGCCAUCUUGUCAUGGCUGCUCUCUGCCAUAUGAUCUUCCACCCAAAUGAAUUGAUAAAAGAGAAGUUGGUCUCAUCUGGUCCAAUUCCUUGGCCAAUAAGUGAAAAGUUGGUCUCUUUGGCACUGCACAAAAGUCAUAAGAUUUGAGCUCCUGACACUGUCACCAAAAAGAUAUGUUUUAACUUCACAAGGACCAACUGAAGCUACAUGUGUUUGCCAUGGUGCCAAAGCAUGGUACAAGAGGGCCAUGGGAAGUAUCUGUUGCUUUUAGCUUACUCAAGAUGCUUCUUGCACAGGGAUCAAACUUAGAGGACCAGUCAAAAAAAUUGAUGUCAUGAACACACAGUCUCACAGCCAACACUAAGCCAGAAUUAGAUGCUUAUCUGUUCUUACCAAAUUCUCUUUUUUCCUUUUGUCUUUGGGACAGAGGGCAUCACUUGAAUCUGGUAACUGCAUAUUACUUCAAUUGUUUGCCUGAGAGAGAGAGUGUGUGUCAUAUGCUAUACAAGAUUCAAUUUUAUGAAUAUUAUUAUGAUCUUAUCACUCCCUAUUUCUAGAUUGUCUCAGCUCAAAGUUGAAUUUGUUGGGAAUGUAUAUUGUAACAUAUGAACUCUGCGUAAAAUCAAUCGUCUAUUCGUAUUAUAUAAUUAAGUCAAUUCGAUCAACUUCUUGAAAGUCCUCAUGACUCGAGAGUCAAUUUAUCGACGACACAUAUCCUAAGGAGCAUAAUUCCCCGUAGUAAGUUUAUCAUAUCGUGAGCAUCACCUAUAAAACUAAUGUCAAUGGCAAAUUAGUUUGAGAUAUAAAAUUUUAGGUUCUAAAUCUUCUCUUUAUAAAGUGGUGAGAAGAAUAUUCCUAAAAUAAAUAAAAAUCCUUCCUUCCCUACAUAUGCUGACGCGAACUCUGUAUGUCAAGUUACGAUUGAUCGAAAACAUUAAUCGUAGCACAUUUUAAUCAAUAUUAGUGAAUGUAAAAAUUGAGACAUGAGUUGUGUGAUUAAUAUAGCUGAUGAAGAUCAAGAUAUGUAAAAUGAAGAAAAACUAAAAAAGGAGUACAGCAAAGAAAAUGGUAAAGCUUCAAGUAGAGUGGGCAAGAAUUUAAUAGCUGAAAUCACCACAUUCCUAAGAUUGCAAGAAACAACUUCACCAACCACUGAGGGUAAAGCCUGAGUGACACAGGACUGACUCCAUCCAUGGCUUCGAUAGAUUGUCUCAUGGAAGCAACCCAAGGGUUGGUUUUGUAUGCAUCUUUACGUAGUACGUGGACUUGGAAGCUUAGAGACUGUGUGUGUAUGUAUUCAACUAGGGAAUUAGAUUGCAUGGCAGUCAUGAAAUCCAUGCGUAGACUCCAUGCAAAGGCUUGUACUCGUACAUACUCUAUUGUCUCAUCCCCUUCCAAAUUUAUACAUGUUCAUGAUGGCUCAGAGAGAAAGAGCUGAGAGAUUAUGUGAAGUCCAAGCAAAUGGGCUUAGCUUCACAACAAAACAAUCCCCUCUCUCUCUCUCUCUCUCUCUACCAACCUAACNNNNNNNNNNNNNNNNNNNNACAACAAACAACUACCCUCCUCUCUCUCUCUCUCUCUCUUCCAACCCUAACAUGAUUACCUUGUGAGUGAAGAUAAAUGCAUCGAAAAAGACAAGAACUGGAGUCAAAGACAAGAAGUCCCACCCACUCUCUCUCUCACUCUCUCUCACGCACACACACACACACAUAUGCACGCACGCACAGACACAGAGGUUUGAGGAGACCUGUAAUGUCCAUGUCCAAACCGUUUCCUGCCCGACCAGCAACAGCAACAGUACUCGUCCCCUCUCUAUUCCCUUCUCCGAGUUCUAAGCAAAGUUCACAGCCAUCACCAUCACCAUCACUGCAUAUCUUUCCUUCUCUUUCUUUUCUUCCAUCACCUUCUGCUUAACUGUGAAUAUAUAUGCUCGCCUUCUUCCCGGUCCACAUGAAGUGAUCCACACACUGCGGCCAGAUCUGCGAUAAUGAGGAAGCCGGAUGCUCCUCCCAGUGGCAGCACCGGCGGUGGAGGUAACAAGCUGAGGAAGGGGCUGUGGUCGCCCGAGGAGGACGAGAAGCUCAUGAACUACAUGCUUAGGAACGGGCAAGGGUGUUGGAGCGACGUCGCCCGGAAUGCCGACUUGCAGAGGUGCGGCAAGAGCUGCCGGCUUCGGUGGAUCAAUUACCUGCGCCCUGAUCUCAAGCGCGGCGCUUUCUCCCUCCAGGAAGAGGAGCUCAUCGUCCACCUUCAUUCCAUUCUUGGCAAUAGGUUCUCUCUCUUCUCCGGACUGGGUUUCUUUGCGUGCAUUCGUCCCACCGGAUACUGAACCUAAUCCACUGCGUGCAGGUGGUCUCAGAUCGCUGCGCGUUUGCCUGGUCGAACUGACAACGAAAUAAAGAACUUCUGGAACUCCACCAUCAAGAAGAGGCUAAAGAACUCCAACAACAGCGGAGAUGCGGAGACCAGAGGAGGAGCCGCGAGCCUUGCACACGUAAAGGAGCAUCAACUGCAGGGCAUGUACGUGGACUCCUCCUCCUCCUCGUCGUCUUCUUCGAUGCCUGGUGGUUUGUUCAUGGCCAACCAGUAUGACCUGCUGCCCCUCCCCGAGGUCGGCUGCGGCAUGAUCAGAGUCGAAGACAGCUCCUACUUCCACGAACCACCAACCGUAGCCCAAGCCGGCAUGGAGAAUGGGUUCUAUGGGGAUGGCCAGGGAGUGAUGAUGGUGGAAGGAGGCCUCAUGGGAGGAGGAUGCGAGCUCUUUGUGCCCCCUCUCGAGAGCAGUCAAGAAGAGACCCUCAUGAACGAUGGAGGUGCAGGGAGCAUGGUGAGCAGUGCCGACAUCAGCAACAGUGGUGAUGUGAACAAGAUCCAAAGCGGAAUGCUUUGGGAGGACGAGGACAUUAGAGUGGGGGAGUGGGAGUUGGGAGACUUGAUGAAAGAUGUCUCUUUUCCUUUCCUUGAUUUCCAAGUCGAAUGAUGGGACAUUCAUUCCACAGGUAUAUCACCUCCACAACCCAUCUCUCUUUCUUCUCCUUUCCUCAACCUUACAUCUGCUUGCCUUUCUCUUGCCACUACAUAUACAGCAUGCCAAAUAUGUUUCAGAUACAAAAGAAGAAGAAAACUCGGUCAAGCUAAUUGAUUAUGCUGCUCAAUUCUUUGAAGCCUCUUAAGCUUCUUUGUUACUCCACAAAAUCCAUAUUCACCAAUAAAGUACAGGCAACGUUUGGUUCUCAUUCUCCUUCCUCACCUCUGCAGAUGAAGUUAUGUAAAUAGGUUCAUGGUGUUCAAGGGGGAUGACAAGGAAAUAUAUACAUACAUAUGAUUCUUGGUUCAUGGAAGGUGGUUUUAGGGUGUGAUUCAACAACAUUUGCAAUUGAGGAAAUCAUAUGUACCAGUGAAAGAUAGAAAUUAAAUGAAGCAAAUUUUUUUUAUUUGUUUUUUUUUGCAUAUAAUAGAGGCAUCUAUGAUUACAAGUUUCCAGAUGAAGGAAAGGAGGAUUCUAUGAAAAGCUUUGUACUACUCUUUUAUUUUAAAUGCGACAUAUGUUUCUCACCACCAUGGUUGGUAGUAAAAGUAUGUGUGGAGUGUGGGAUGAUGACUUUUCUCAUUUGCUAUGGUACAUGGACCAAAACUAAAUGAUAGAAAGGUGGUGGGGCUGUAUGAAACAUGUUCUUGGUACAGCUCUUGAUGGCAAUUGUCAUUAUCAAUUUGAAAAGCAAUCCAACCUGGUAUUUCAAUUAUCAUUAUAAGCCAAGAUCUAAUUUUUUCUUGUUUUAGUCCACACAAGGAAAAUGAAUGAUAGGAUCCUGUAAUUAUUUGUUACACUCCUAAUCCAUUCAUUAGUAUAAUAAUUUAUAAAAUAUAUAAUUUAUAUUAUUUUUAUAUAUAAUACAGAUGCUCAGUUGUUGUGUGGAACUGUGGAGUCCUUUUUUGCCUAUCCAGUGAGAAAUCACAGGCAUCAAAGUGUUGUUUUUUGUCAGACUCAUCAUCAUGUUGUUCACACACACACACACACACAAAUAUAUAUAUAUAUUUACACACACAUUACUGUCUCUAGCUUUUUAUGUUAAUACACAUCCAGGGAGUGAUAAAUCCCUGUCAAUUAAGGGUCUUAACAGCUGAAAACAAAGACAAACAUUUCAGGGUUGGAAAGGAGAGUUUGUAUACGGAAUCAAGUGCUGAUAUGGAGAUUUCUACCAAAAAAAAGGCAGAGAAUUUGAUCACAUAUCCACUCAGGCAGAGAAUGUCAAGCUGAAGUCUCUUUAGAUGGUACAAAGUACUUGAAUAAUACAAGUCUACUGAAAAUUUGUUGCAUAAGUUACUUUCUGGUAGUCAAGCCUCUUUAGGAACAAAAAUGACCGAAAAUAAAUCAGAAGUAUAUUGUAUUGUGUUAUACUUUGGAAACUCGACAUGGGCACACGACGGCCGCAAAUAGCAGACUCAAGAGAAUCUCUUGAUGGCCGCAGCAGAAGAUUGGAACUAGUAGGUCAGCCGGUUUUACUGGCUUCCGCGUUUUUCUUUCUCUCUUUGAGGAGCUUGAUCUUAUCUUUUUUCCGUUCUUGACCAAUCU